rnacentral:lncRNA from 1 species
UAUGUACAGUAUGCCUUCAGUAAUGUAUUUUUUUUUUUUUUGAGAAAAAGGUAGCAAGCUACCUGCUUCAAUUCAUUCAUAAAAUAAAAUGAACUAAGCAUAUAGGUGGAAGCAGCUAGGGCCUCCUAAAAAAACCGAAAAGAAAUCAACGAAAACAUAAACAAAAAGCCCAAAAAAAAAUAUGUAAAAGGAAACAAAAGCAUGAAAUUAGAGCAGGAGUCGUCGAGAAUCACGUAACAUCAGUCCAAUCCUUCAACAAAGACUCAACGCGAACCGCGGUCCGGCUUGCGUUGGGAGGCAUAUCACGAAAGAUAGUAUUAUUGCGUUCGGUCCAAACAACCCACCAGAUCGCCUUCAUUAAUGUAUUAGUUUUACUUUUCUAGCUCUAAUAUCUAUAGUUGUAGUAGAUUUUAUAUAUUUUGCAGGUUUAGAUGCUUCACAUGUAUGGGGAUCCCCGUGUACGCAGCGGAUCUAUUGGCGAGUCUGGAUUCAGCUGCAACUCGGGACGUGACAGAUUAAGAUCAGAUCUAGGAACAGUUUGUUGGGACUUAGAGAACUCUAGAUUUUUUGCAAACCCCUAGGAAGACAAGACGUGAGAGAUGCGACUUGCUGCGAAAGUCGGCGAUUGAUUUAUUUGUCAAUUCUUUCGGGAGAGCGAAGAGUGAUCGAAGGAAAUGUAUCUUUUCCUGCCAGAUGAUUAUAUCGGCUGCAGCCGACAUAGUAUCGCAGGGAAAAAGGAAUGUCCUUCUAGACUUUCGCAUGAUUAGAUUGAGUGUUGUAUUCAAGUAUGUAACUGACGUAUAUUCUGUUGCAGGUAAUUAGAAUGCCUCCUAGAUGUUGACCACCGGCGUAGGCAAUACCUGCACCACCCGCGAAGCCGGAGCAGGAAGGGCCGAGUGAGUUGUAGAACUAGCAGGGAUAGUUGGCUAUUUUGGCCGAGGCUACCCAAUAGUAGGGAGUGCUUUUAUAGAGUAUGUGCAAAUUGGUUCAUUACGUUCUCUGUGCAAGCAAUGAGAUACCAGAGAGUCACAUACAGUGGAGACUCGGGUUGGCGUCAAUGGCGCCGAGAUUUGAGUCUCGGUCCAUGCUGCAAUCCGAAUCAUGGUCAAUGCGAUCAGAAAUUAUUUGACCCUUAGCAAUCUUUAUAAGCCAUGCGAUCAGAACGCGCGUCUUGGAUCCAAUAGUAUAGGGUCACGUCCAUGCGAGUGGAAGAUGAACAAUAUUUUAUUUUAUUUUAUUUUAUUUUAUAGAGUAAGCUAUUAUAUAUACUCUUACGAGUAUAGAGCCCUUUGUACUCAUAAGUUAUUUUCGGUGAUGGGGCUUUCGAAUCGAUGAUCCACUCUGUUAAAUAUGAUUUAGAGUAUUUAAAAUUUUUAAAAAUUAAAUUUCGUAAUUUUUUCGAAAUCAUAGUAAAGUCUGUAAAAUAUGCAUAAAAUGAACGGUCAAAAUCGAAUGAUAUCCUAAAAAUAGAUGAUCGAAUCCACAGAUCAGAAUUGUUAAUCUUUAUUUAGGCAGUGAAUAGAAUUUUCUAUAAAAAAUUCAACAUAUUCCAAUUCUUUUACACCGUUAAACUAGCAAUUAUCUCAUACCGGCCGUUAAAAAUUGUCAAUUUUGUGACAUUUUGCUCGUGAGGUAAAUAAUAUUAAAAAAUAAUGAAAUUUGAUUUCUAGAAAUUUUAAAUACUCUAGAUAAUGUUUAACGGUAUGGAUCGUCGAUUCGGAAGCUCUAUUAUCGAAAACGACUUAUGAGUACAUGGAUGAUCGUACUCAUAAAAGUAUAGUAGUCGGACUCUAUUUUAUAUAAUUAAAAUUCGACCCAGUGUAAAGGGUGCACACAGUAAGAAGUUAAUAAUUAACAUUAAAAUUUGGCUCUAAUACUAAUUGAUAGAUCUUUAUAGCUAUGUAAAAUAAUAAUAAAAUAAAUACAUACCAAAAUACAGAAUCACAAAUAAAUAAAGUAAUUUACAGAGUGCCAUAGAAAAGAAAUUCUUAAUUAAUCUGCGGAAGCAAAAAGUCCGGUACCAAUAUGAAUAUUACCAACGGAAUUCGACUAACUUGGCUUCUUCUUCUAUCUCAGUCACUCUCUCGCAUGGUAUGGAACAGAUGGUAAUUCUUCAUUGAAAUUUAUAUGAGAAGGUGGCAUGACCAAUAUACUUUUAUAUAGAGUUCAAAUCGACUUAUCAUCAAAAUUUGAUUAGGAUUCUAUUUAAUUUAAAUAGAUAAAAAAAUGGAUAACAUAUAUCAUAUUAAGUAGUUCUCUGUUAGAAUUGAUCUUUAUUUAUAGUAAAUUUAGAUCUGAAUAUAAUUAAUUGAGACAUAUUUAUGAAAGUCCUAACUCCUGAUCUUAUAUACCUUUUGGAAAAUAAUUUGAGAGGUACUAAGUACACUCGUAACCUCAUAGCGUGGUUCUUAUAUAUUUUGUCGAACCUUUUGUUUUUUUUGGUUAAUGGAACUUCACAAAUUUUAAUUUGCAGAUCCAAAAGUAUUGUGCCACCUGAACUCAUAAUGGGCCUCAAAACUUAUUAGGCGCAAAUCUAUUUCGGGCCUAUUUCAGCAUUCCAAACUUUGAUCGUGUUAUGUGUGAAUGUGGUCCGCAUGCCCGUGCCCAGCCUUUAUGCUUAUAACUUUCUAACUAUCAUCAAUUUUGAUGAACGGAUAGGAUAAAAGAGAGAAAAAUAUUGAAAAGAAAUUGAAUGCCUCAAUUUCUUCUUUUUGAAUUUCUUUCUAGUUUCUCUUAUCUUUCUCUCUCAUCCUAACCACCGAUCAAAAUUGAUGGAUGAUUAGAAAGUUAGGAGCAUAAGAUCUGCUGUGUUCCUAAUUACACGGUAGUCCUACUCUCCAUAUAUACAGAAUUGGAUUGGAAUGCUAUUAAUAAUAUUUCGGCUCUUUUGCUAUCAAGUUUUUAGCCCUUGGAUGAAAAAUUAUAAGGUUAGAAUAAUAAUGGUCCCCUCGAAUUUAGUGGUGGUUCCUCCAGGAUUGAGUAGGUGGUUGGUUGAAUAGUAUUAUCGAAAGGAUGAAAUUGAUUAAAGUGUAAAUUUAAUAGUUAAAACAGUAAUAGUAAAUGAGUCCAAAUAAGUAUUCUAGCUCAACUCUUUUAAUAUCUAUAUAUAUAUCUCUCUCUCUCUAUAUAUAUAUAGAGAGAGAGAGAGAGAGAGAGAGAGAGAGAUGAGGUCGAGAUGGUGGCAAGUCGGGUGAUAAAUGUACACUAAUAUAUUAGAAAAAAAGAUUUAUUUUUACUUCUCAAAAUAUUCGUGAGAAAAAAAAUUUGUUUUCCAAAAAAAAUUUGGAAAAUGAAAAGAAACUAUUUUUUGUAAAAUAUGAAAAAUAAUUUUUAAACAAAAUUUUUUUUUUCUGCGAAUCAAACACACGAAAUUUUUUUUCAGUCUUAAAUAAAUUUUCUAGGAUAUUUUUCAAGAAACCAAACAUACCCUAAACAAGUGUGGCUGAGUAUUUACAACCCAAACACUAAAAAAUAUAAAAUUUUAUUCAUCAAUUUUUCUUUUCAUAGCUUUAUAUGGAACCAAACAGCUCAUAAAUGACGAAUCAUUUGUGUGAUGACGAGAGAGACGCAAGCUCCCCGCCCGUUAAGUUUGUACGAUGGCUAGAGUAAGGAUGUCAGAGGGUACGGAUACCCGAAAUUUUAUCGAAAUCCGAAUCCGAAUAGAGCAGAUUUAUUGAAUGCUACACGGAUAUGGUUUCGGACAUGGAUAUCAAGAACAAAUAAUAGACGGAUAUGAAUUCGAAUAUAGAUUUUGGCUAUACCCAACCCGAACCCGAAUUUAUUUUACAUUUUAUAUAUAUAUAUAUAUAUAUAUAUAUAUAUAAUUUGAUGUUAUACUUUGUAUUUGUAUUUAAAAAAUUUAGAUUUAAUAUAAUAUAUUUUGAAAUACUGAAAAGAGAAAUAAUUGUUUCGGUUUGGAUUCGGUGCUCAAAUUUUUGGUUGGAUUUGAGUUUGAAUAUGAAUUUUUAAAAUCUGUCGGAUUCAAAUUCGGAUUGAAGUUUCAAGUUUGGAGUUAGGUUCAAAUUUGAAUUUUUGAAAAUUCUUCCUAAAUCUGAUCCGGCGACAUCAAUAGACGAGAUGGACGCAAGCUCUCCAUUAAGCGACGCAAUAUCACUGGACAUUCAAAUAGAUUCUUUGGUUUUAUAUUACUUAUAAUAUAAUACAGUUUGAAAUAUGCACUGUCGAAAAUAUAACCGUUUUAACGGACAAACAUUUUAUUUGAUUGAAUAUAAUAAAAUAAUAGUACUAUAACUAUAGAUAUUUAUAUUUAACUGUAUAUAAUUGAGAAGAGUAUUUAUAACAUUUUAUCACUUUAUAUAUAGGACGGUGAGAUUAUUCUCCCUAUAAAAUAAUAGAUAUUUUCUAUUUAAAAAGGAUGAUUAGGAUGUAAACUUAUUUUUAUUUAAAGUUAUUUUUUCCAACUAUUGCAGUAGAAACUUCUACCAAUUUAGGUGUAGUUUCAACCACGGUAGUUAAGCAUUCAUGUAUAGCAUUAAUUACAGCAAUUGGAUUCAAAUGUCAAAUGUAUCAACGCAAAUACUAGAUUUGAAUAUAUAUGCAUUUUACAACUUGAAGUAUCAUUGUAACUAUACUAUUUAUAAACUGACCGUUUUUAACGCAAGUGGCAAAAGGUUUGGUAAUUGAUACCCGAAGUCCCCAAUUCGAAUGCACCCCAAUACAAUGUGCCCUCCUAAACAAAAUUUUCAUUUUUGUUUUUUUUUUUUUGAGGGCCCUGAAAUUUUGUUUUACUCCAAAAAAUUGUGCGGUUUUAGCAAAUAUAUAAUGUAUUAUGAAACUGUGUUCCUACGUUUGUUUGGAUACGUUAUAUUCAUUAUCGUGAAAUAUAAUGCCAAAUGUGUUUUUAUGAUAUCAUCCGUUCGAUUAUAUUAUGCAUUAUUUUAUAUUUAUUUUAAAUCUUAAUUAAUCUUUUUAGUAUUUUUUAAUAAUAUUAUCAAGUUCUUAUUAUUCUGAACUACAGAAUUUUAUCUAAUGGGUGACAAUGAAGCACUUGUCACUUUUUGUCACAGGAUUAUCCUUAUUUUGUUUAAUUUCUCUUCACCAGUUCGAUUCUUUAAAUCACAUGUGAAAAAUCCCUCUCCUUUGGCAUUAUUGUAAUAAUAUUCAUCACAUCUUGGAUCGUUACCGAUUGAGACAUGUAUAAUCAUAAGGUCCUUGUGUCUUCAUCGAAUAAUGCGUUCUAUCAAUAUCAGUCAAUAUACGUCACUGAUACAACCAUUUGUUAAAUAUAAAAAUAUUUAAAUAUCGCUUUUUAUCAUCUUAAAUUUUUAGAGUAUAACGAUUAUUUGUAUUAUUUCGAGUCGUAUCGGGCAGCUACCAUUAUUUUUUUUUUUAUUUAAUUUUCUAUUCGUUUAAGCUUUUAAAGUACAACGGUUGUUUGUAUUACUUCAAAUGGCAUCAGAGAAAUAGGUUUCGAGAUCGAGUCAUACCAGGCUCGUAACAUUAUUAAUUUUCUUUUAUUUAAUUUUCUAUCAGUUUAAGAAAAAUUUGAUUUGUCUUGACCACAUAUGUCAUUUUCAUUACCAAUUUACUACUGCGAUGUGAAUGCUCGUAAAUACAGAUAGAUCCAUAAGAAACCAAAAGUAUGUAUCGAAUAAUAGAGGUCUGGGUCCGACCUUCCCAAAAAACUUCCAAAAAUAUAUUAUAACACGUGAAGCUGAGGACAAGAGUUUAUAUAUAUAUAAAUAAUAAAUUAAUUAUAUACUAUAUAUAUAUUAGUAUAUAUACCUUUGAUCUAAACUGAAAUACUAAUCAUACACCAAGCUAUUGGUGCUGUUAGGUUUUCGGUAUUUGGAUGAAAAAUAUACGAUUAGGAUGAUAUGGGUCCUCUAGAGUUGAGGGAGUUAUUUGUUUAAUAGUAUAAUCUAAUGGGUGAAAAUAGUCAAAGGGUUAAAUCUAACGGCGAAAAAUUUGAUAGUAUCAAAUGCUUGGCGCUAUCGAUAGUAUCCCAACUGUACUCUAUAUAUAUAUAUAUAUAUAUAUAUAUAUAUAUAUAUAUAUAUAUAUAUAUAUAUAUAUAAAAAGAGAAAGAGAGUAGGUCUUGUGUGCUAUUAGGAGCACGGAAGUCNAAAACAAAAGGUAUCUUAUAUAAAGGAACUAUUGGUCCAAUAAUUAAUAAGCUUAAGAAUGUAUAUGUGCAACAAACGGGAGGUCUCAUUUUCAUGUGUGUCAUGUUAUUAUCAAGUAGUUAUUACAAGUAAUGUACUCAUGUUUAUGCACAAAUACAUCCUGAUGAUUAUUAAAUUGGUUUGGCCUUAAUAGGAAGGAAUUAUUUGCACACCCAAUGUGUUUGCACCUAAUUUUAAUAACUAAUAUUUUGAAAUUAAAAUCUAAUUUUAUGAAUAGAAUUUAUAACUGUUGGGCUAGAAACCAAAUGCGGGGCGACAAUGGCCGAAUCAAUGCGAUGACCAUAUCAGACACCUCCUCGGGAUAUGAGUCGACUCAUGAGAUGACCCACGAAUGCGCCACUAUCAAUUCAAGCAAUUCGAUUAAGGAGAGAUCGGCCCAACCGUACUUUUCUGCUAAUUAUUCACAAGUGAACAGCAAAGCAAGCUCGGCUAUAAGAGCCGAACAAUUUAUACUGAUUGAAAAAGUGCGAUACAAAAGCUGUUACAAAGGCUAAAUCUAAUACUAGAAAAGCUCCUAAACAAACACCUGAUUAUGCUCUUAACCAAGCUCUUAAAAGUAGUAGAAAGAAAAUUUGUGGGCUAUUCCUUUGAAGCUGUGAAUGCUGGGAAUUGAAAUUAACUGAAAUUUGUUUUGGUCGCUUGCUCGUGUGAAGGAUUUCGAUCACAGACGUGUUUUUUUCUAUUUAUAGUAAUGUAUUCUCCCGCAUGCAGUUAUUAGUUAAUUCUUAUCGUCGAGGUUUUUUUGGAAUAUCCCGAUUUUUACGGGUUAUGCUUCGGCUGAUACUUUGCUGGUCACGAAAUCUUUCCUUCACGUCUCUAACCGUUCUUAUCUAAACCGCUCUUCUAUUCAGGAGUUUUUCUCUUUGGCUGCCGGUAUACCACGUGUCACCUUUUGUUUUGUUCCUGCUGUUUUCGAACCGCUUAUCAUGUAGCACUAUUUUUCUGACGCCAACAAUAAUAUUAAAAAGGACUAUGCAUAAAAGAAAAAAUUAAUACUAGUUUGAUUUGAAAAUGGUUUACAUAAGGGUGCGUUCGGUUCAAUGUAAAAAUAUAAAAAUUAAUUUUUUAUGAAAAAUAAAGUUCGGCGGAAAAAAAGUUUUAUAUUCCUUUGAUUUGUGGAAAAAAAAAAUAUCCAUCAAUAUAUAUAUACUUAGUUCAAAGAAAAAAAAAACACAUUUAUUUGAUUCAGUCGAAAAAAAAUUUUUACACAGUUUAAAUUUUUAUUUUCCACUGUAAAAUAACAGAAAACGAACCUUUCUAAUUUUUCUCUAAAAUUCAUAAAAAAUAUUUUAUAAAUAAAUAUUUUUUAUAUAGAUAAAAAAAAUUUAAAAAAAUCGUACUAAAUUCGAUUUGUUUUAUGCGGAACUAAAGGCCGCUGAGCAGUUCUUGACAGAAUAAGGGCAGGUUUUUUUUUUUUUUUGGGGUGGGGGGGACAUCGUGAUUUUUCAAAGUUGUGCAUUACACUCCGUACAGAUACUUGUCUGACAAUUAAUUUUUUUUUUAUAUAGCGUAAUAAAUUAAUCAAGUAUUUCUUUUUAGAGAUAUAUGUUCCAUCAUGAUUAUAAAAAAAUAUUUUUAUUAUAUUUUUAUUUUUUUUAAAAAAAUAUGAUUGAUUUUGUUAUUGAUAACGUGAUACAAGUAUGACAGUAUAGAAUUCUUCCAAUUGAGGACGGGGACAAGUCGACAAACACGUGGACAAACGUGUAUUAUUAUAUUAUAUUAUAUAUUUAUUAUUAUGAUAAGAAAUUGUGUGGACGCCCGGUCGUCUUGUCAUCGCACGGCAACAGGAUAAGAUCUCGUCUGGACCACCCCCGGUCGUCUAAUCAUCACAAAACCAGAAAGUAAGAUCUACAGGAUAAGAUCCAAAUGUGGGCGCCCACUGCCCACUAGCAAUGUGAAACGUACUACUAGAAUUUAAAAAUAAUUAUUAUAUAUAUACACUCUGACUAUUAUAUUUUUAUGAGCUCGAUCGUUUUCGUACUCAUAAAUUAUUUUUUGAUAAUAGAAUUUUCAAAUCGAUAAUUCAUACCGUUAUAUAUUAUCUAAAAUAUUUAAAACUUCUAAAAAUCAGAUUUUUAUAAUUUUUUGAUAUUAUUUAUUUUUCGAUUAAAAGAUCUCAGAAUUGAUAAUUUUUAAUGACCGGUAUGGUUACUUGCUAGUUUAAUGGUGUAAAAAAAUCGAAAUCUGUUGAUUUUUUGAUAGAAAAUUCUAUUCACUGUCUAGAUAAAGACUAAUAACUCCGAUUUUAAAUUCAAGGAUCCGAUCAUCCAUUUUUAUAACAUCGUUCGAUUUUGACUAUUUAUUUUAUGCCCACUUAAUAGAUUUUAUUAUGAUCUCGAAAAAUUACGAAACUUAUUUUUUAGAAAUUUCAAAUACUCUAAAUCAUAUUUAACGAAGUGGGUCAUCGAUUCGGAAGCUCCAUCAUCGAAAAUAAUUUAUGAGUAAAAAAGGCUCUAUACUUAUAAGAGUAUAGUAACCCUACUAUAUAUAUAUACAUAUAUAUAUAUAUAUAUAUAUAUAUAUAUAUAUAUAUAUAUAAUAAGAUUACUUUUUUUUAAUCUUAUUAUAAUAUUUUCGACAGUAAUUAAAUCUAAAGAAAUUAAGAAGGUUAAGCGUGCUAGAGGUAUGGUAAUUUUAUAAUGGAUGACCUCCUGGGAAACGAGGCCAAUCACUAGUCGUAAGAAUAAAAUGAGUCUCAACUAAACCAUGGUCGUAUGAUAGGUAAAGCGUGGCUUUCUGACUAAUGAUCAUUGCGGGUAGAGUGCGACGUAGCACAAAGUUAGAUAAGAUUAGCGAGACAAGUUUCAUAUCGUCUAGUGUUUAUGAAUGUUUUUGAGCAUGAUAAGAACGUCAGAACUUAAAGGGAUAUAAUAUAGCUAAACCUUCCGGUUAUAAUAUUUUGAGCUGUAGUUAAUUUUUAGAAUUUAAGAAGGUUAAGCGUAUUAGAGUUAAAAUAGCUCUACAAUGGAUGACCUCUUAAAAAACGGAGCGUUUACAGUAGCCUCAUGAAAAUACUGCAACACUAUGUUACCCUUACAACAUAAAAACAAAAAUAGAAAAGAUUAAAUUAGAGGACGUGGAAGCCCUUCUCCUACACAUAUAUGGGCUGUAAGGAACACGCAUGCAUGCUUUGCAACUAAACAUGCAGUAACAGUGAUAAAAUUGUAAUUAAAAGUUCAUUUACCUCAACUAGGUUAUUCCUAAUUGGGCAUAGUUUUAUAAAGGCUAACUGCACUUUUGUUUUCAAACUACAGACAUGCGACAUUUUUGUUCCGAAACUUUAAAUUAUUAUAAUUUUUGACUUCAUCAACUUUAUAAAUAUUGCAAUUAAGUUCUAUAAUAUAAUUUAUUUAACUAAAUAUUAAUAUAUUUGUGAUAUCCCUGGAGUACAGUAGUUGAGGCUUGUCGACGCGUCAUGAAAGUGUCGGGAUAAUUCCGAGUUGCGUUUGGCGCGAACAGUUGCAAAACGGACUCAGUGGGGACACGAGAGCAGGAGUUAGCAUUGGAAUCUGCAAAUUGCAGAUUUCCUGCUUGUUGUACCGGUACAACAUCAGAGGUGUACCGGUACACUUUCUGUACCGGUACAACAUCGGAUGUGUACCGGUACACUUCACCUAUUUUCCGCGCAGCUGCUCUCGGGUUACCAUUUGUACCGGUACAACCACACGUAUACCGGUACAUCAGGGUAGGUGAGAGGGCAUUUUGAUCUUUUCAUGUCUCGUACGUGUCACCCUCUCUCCCCAUUACUAUAACAGGUGUAGAGGAGCUGAGAGAGAGAAAUUUUACUGUUCUUCUUCUCCUUUCUCUCUCUAGCCUUGGCCGUGAGCAAGGAGAAGCUCGGUUGGAGUUCGAGUGUCGCCGACGACGCGCCGCAGUGUCGUUCGAGUGUGCGUUCGUCAUCGUAGCAUCGCGAGGAGGCCGGGCGAGGGUGCGAUUCCGCCGUUCUCGACGUCGCGCCGGAUUGGGUUUAGCUUUUGAGGUGGGUUAAUCGUUGGUUAUCUUCUAAGUAUAUAAAUUGUCGACAUGUGUUUUUAUGUUGUUUCGUUGAUAGAAAUUGCUCGAUCCAUGGAUUUUGGCAUGUUUAACUGUAGAAUCUGAAUUGGAGCUUAGUACUGUGACUAGGUAUUUACACAUGUUGGACUUGGAUUUGACUUAGGAGAAAACUUGCGAUUUAAACCUGUCACAUGCUUAAACUAUCUGAUUUAGCUCUAGGGGCCGUUGUUAUUUUAUAUCACCGCAGUAUCAGCGUGGGAUGCCGAGUGUAUAUUUACAGUAGUGUUCAGACUGUUCCGGACUGUUGGGUGCCGUCGGGGUUGACGGUGGACCCAUAUCGCCGUUUUGGGUGUCAGAUUGUGCUGAGGGCAUGUGACCUGUUGCUUGUUAGACCAGUUGGACCUUGUUACUUGACUUUGGCUUGUGAGAGCCUGAUUGAGCUCGACAGAGAUACGCUUGCAUACUCGGUUGGGUAGCUCCCACGAGUGUCACUCCGAAGGCGGGCGCUGUGCUUUCGCGUUGAUGUCGUUUGUGCAGGUUGGACUCGCUCUUCACGGACUGCUUAGAGUAGAGGUAGCUGUAUAGUCGCACUGGGCGGGACAAGUGUAUUCACAGUCCCAGGGACAGGUAGGCUUACAGUCCAACAUCGAUUGAGUCAGAAUUGACACUUCCUAUAGUUGGUUAGUGUAGAGCAUGAUAGUGUAGUGUCUUGUAGCUGUAAAGUUUCUUCCAGCAUUUCAUACUAUCCUUGCUCCCUUCUGUAAACUUAGUGGGUAGACUGACGAUGUCUAGGGUGGUACCCACUGAGAACUACUUGUUUUUAUAGCAAUUCUCACGCCCAGCUGUUACCCUGUUUUUGCAGAGCCUGCUGUUCUGGCUGUUGCUCCCUCGAAGACUGAUCGUGGCAAGCACGUUGCCAGUUAGAGCCCUUCCCAGUUACUGCUGUUCGUAAGGUUACCAGCUGCAAGUAGUGCUAGUUUUUGAGUUUCUUAUACAUACUGGUUGUAUCUCGCUGGGCGAGCUUUUGUGUACCUGAACUUAUGUAUGUAUGUAUAUGGAACUUGUUCCUGUUUAUACCAGUUUUAUUCGAACAGCUCUAUACUAUUGUUUGUAAUAUUAUAUAUUUUACAGGUACAGCUAUCGCUUCGUAUAUAGGAAAUUUUUUUUUGUAUACGGCGAAUUUGUCGGCGUGCCCGGAGAACGUGCAAUCUCGGGCGUGACAAUAUUGCUGUUAUAAAAAUAAUAUAGCUAAUAGUUAUGAUGUCAAAUUACAUUUAUACUAGAUUGUGUUUGAUUCUUCCAAAAAAAAAAAGUGAAAAAAGAUUUCCGAGAAUAGAAAUUUUAUGAUUUUUUUUUUUCAGUUUUUCCAUCUGUAUGGUUUCAAGGAAGGCAAGCUUUUGUAGAAAGUCUUUUUCUCAAUUUCAAGGCAUAUUAAUAAUUUUAUUUUUCAAUUCUCAAAAAAAUAAAAAUACUAGAUUUUUAUAAAAUUUGGAAAAAAGUUUUUCAAAAGAAGCUAGUUUUUCUUUGAACAAAACAGACAGAAAUCUAGAAAAAAGAUUUUUCCAUUUAAUAUUUUUUAAAAAAAUCAUACUUUUCUAAGAAAUCAAAUAGCUCCUUCGCGAAACGUUAAUAUUUAGAGAACGUAUUGUGCUAUAGGACAUAAUUGUAACAUUUAUAAAGUUUGAAGCAAAAAUUGUAAAAAAUUAAAAAAUACUACUUGUACUUCCUAAAAUAAGAUGUACAUUUUAUAUUCCUUUAUCCUAAAGUUUAUAAAAUUUAAAAAAUUUCUGUAUUAGAAAAAAAAAUUUAUAAAUUUAUAAUUACUUAGUAAAUGAUGUCGAAAAAUUAUGAAAUUUGAUUUCUAAAUAGUUCUAAUAGAAUUGAUUAUACCUAAUGAAGCCGAUCGUCGAAUCAAAUAUUCUAUUAUCGAAUACAAUUUAUAGAUAUUUAUAGAUAUAGAGGCCUCCAAGCUUUUGAAAGCACAGAAGACGCACUAUAUAUAUAUAGCAUGUAGAGAAUUAGGUUAUUGGCUUUUGGAGAUUCGUGAUUACUGAAACCACGAAAAUUUACGUAACCUCGAGUUAAUAUANUACCAAAAAAAAGCUCGCCUAGCAAGCAGAGGACCGUAUAUGCAAAUAUAAAUUUAUCAUGACUAUUUAUAAAAAAAAAAUUGUGAGGGGAAUAAAUGUAAAAAAAAAACCCGGUUUCAGGUGUUUUGUGCGUUAUUCAGAGCUGAGGAGUGAGGACCGCACCGGACCGGGUUUAACAUCGGACCAAGUUAAUUAUUCCCGAGUCCAAAUACCCUUGCUUAGGCGAAGAAACGACAAAAGGACGGCCCGGCCCCGACCGGAUCAGAAUAUCUCAGCCGUUUGAAAUGAUUUUCCAGCACCCGGUGCAUCCCUAUGUCUCGUACACCGCACCUAAUUAUGAUGAUCAAAUAAAAAAAUUUGGACUUCUUUUUGCAAAAAUCCCAUACGAUUUUUUAAUUCUUAAAACGACCGUUGAGGAGUGAUAAAUUGUUCAUCGCUUUUAGUAAGCGAUGAAUCAUUUACUGUUUUUUGAUUGUAUAGGUUGUGAGAAUUUUUAUGAGUUGUUAGAAUUAUACGAAGAAGACUGUUAUAAUUUUUGUUUGAUUAUUAACUUUUUUUUGUUAAGAAAAGAACAAUAAAUAAUUCGUUAUCUUCUAUAUUUUAUUACAAAUGGUAAAUAAUUUAUAGUUUUUUUAAUUAUUUUUCCAUCCAAUAUUGAAUUGAACAAAAUAGGGUAAUUCGGCCAAAUUAAAUUUUUACAAGAUUAUUUAGCAAAUUAUAAGAUUAAAAGGGUUAAAUCGAAAAAAAAAAGUCUUGAAAUUUUAAUUAUACAUUCGAAAAAGGGUAUAGAUUUUACACUUUCAUUCUAGAGUUUACAAAAAACUCUAUGAAUGUAAUAAAAAAAAAAAUAAUUGAUGUGAUGUUUAGAAAAAUUAGUUUUCAAAUAAAAAUAGUGUAAGAUGUAGGUGUACCAGGCAUUGGAUGAUCAAAUUUCAUUGUGAAGUAAUAAUAUACUAUGAAAUAUAAGUAGUGAAUUUCAAUAUUACAUUAGUUAUAAUAAUUUCUAAAAUACGUAGCUCUGAGCUCUGUUUAUUUUUACAAUAAGUUUAUAAUAUUUUGAGAAAAUUAAUGAUGAUCCGAUACUAUGGAUAUCAAUUGAUCGGAUUUAGAGAGGGUUUUUAAAAAACCGAACCCAAAUCGGACUAUCAAAUCUGAAUCCAAACCCGAAUUUGAUGAAUUUUAGAAAUCUAUAUCCAAAUCCAACAAAAUUCGAAACUAAACCCGAAUCCGAGAAUUCGAACCCCAAAUAAUUAUUUCUCUUUACCAUAUUUCAAAACAUAUUAUGUUAAAUCUAAUUUUUUUUAAAUACAAAUUCAAAUAUAACAUCAAACAUAUAUAUAUAUAUAGAGAGAGAGAGAGAGAGAGUAUAUGACUUAUGUGCUAUUAGGGGCACAGUAGUCCUUGAGCUUUUAACUUUUUAGCCAACUAUCAAGUUUGAUGGAUGGUUAGAAUGAGAGAGGAAGAAAAUAUUGAGAAGAAAUUAGAUGUCUUAAUUUCUCUUCUCCUUGAAUUUCUUCCUUUUUCAUUCUAACCACCCAUCAAACUUGAUGAUUGGUUAGAAAGUUAGGAGCACAAAAACUGCUGUGCUCCUAAUAGCACAGUAGUCCUUCUCUCUCUCUCUCUCUCUCUCUCUCUCUCUCUAUAUAUAUAUAUAUAUAUAUAUAUAUAUAUAGUAGGAUGAAAAGAUUUGAUAAAAAAAUUCGAAAUUUAGUUUCUAUAUAUUUCAAGUGGUACAUAUUAUGUUCAAAGAUAUCGAUCGUUAAUUUGGAGGUUCUAUCAUCGAAAAUAAAUGAAUGACAGUAAAGCCUGUUUACUAGAUAGCAUUCGAGCUCAACUCUCUCUCUUUCUUUCUCUAUCUAUAUAUAUAUAUAAUAUUUUGAUCAAUUGACUAAUUAAUAUUAUCAUUUUAAAUUGAUAGAAUAUGAUUUUAGGUGGUGAAUUAGAAGUUGUGCAGUUAACAUAAAAAACUUGUCUGUAUCCAAUGGGUGAAAGCUCCAAUGGUACUGAUACGCAUAAUCCUUUCAAAAAAAAACAACUAAAAAACUUAUUUGAUUUGUAAAAAAUUAGCUGUGCCCGCAAUUAUUUAUCCAUCAUUCAUGUCAAUUAGCGUCGAGAUCAACCUUUCCAUUAUUAUUAAUUAUUCAAGUUACCAUUCGAGUUAAUACAACGGCUUCUUUCUUUCUUUAUUUCUUUUCUUUUUCUUUUCUUUUUUUUUUUACAAUUGGUGAUUAUGUGGUCCAUAUAUAAAAAGUGGAUAUUUAUAGAUAGCAAGAUUUGAUAGCGAAAACAUAUCUGUUCAUAGUACUGUUAAUUACUCUAUUUAAAUAUUAUCUUUUUAUCCUUCAAAAAAUAUUAGGGUUAAUUUUAUACAACUCUCUGUAAAUAUAUCGUAUCGCAAAUGUAUCCCUACAAAGUUUAACUUUUUAUAUUUAUUCCUAUAAAAAUUCAAUGAUAUUCAUAUUUAUCCCUCUGAUUUAUUACCAUUAUAGUACUAUUUAUUUUCUAACAGAAAAUAAAUAAAAUUAUAUUUCUAUUAUUACAAAUAUGUCUCUCCAAAAGCCCAAUUAUUAAAAUUAUGAAGAAAUGUCCUCCAAAAAAUUUCCAAAGAUUUUCUUCUUCCUUUCUACCAUUACAAAUAAUAUAAAAGUGAUAAAAAGAUCAAUUUAGCUCAUUUACUAAUCAUGGGUAAGUAUUUUACGUUCCAAUCGUUAACUGUUUUUUUCUAACGGAUCUUAAUAAUGUUAAGAAUAUGCCUUCUUUUGAACUUGGGUUGAAUCAAAUUAGUUAACCCAUUAAGUUGGUUUAUAAAAGAUGGUAUAGGCUAGGACCAUGGAUUACAUCAAAUUGAUUUUCAGUUUAUUGGUGUAAGAUUUGUGUUUAUCUACACAUGUCCUCUCCUAGUCUAAUUAGGAUUGUUGACUUGUUGACCGCACCUAUAUAUAUACAUGCAUGGCUAUGCAACCGGGGAAGAGGCGUCAUGUGUGAGAAAAUUAAUUAGCAUCGGGCUAAUUAAUUCACAAGCUUCCGAGGCGUACGGCAGCAAGGAACCUAAUUAAUUAAGGUGGCUCCGUCCGUAUGGUUAGAGAAGAAGCACCGCGUCUUUGCAUGCGACGUCGGAUUGGAGUCGGCAGCAGGAGCGGCGGUUCUUAACCAAUUGCCUGAGCAGUUCGGAUUCUUUGAAGCAACGGCAUAAAGGAAUUUGGUUAGAGUUUCUAUACUUCUCUAAUUUGGUUCUCAGUUUUACGAAAAGCUUUUUCAGUAUUUUCUUGGAGUUUUCGUUGGAACAAGAAAGGUGGGAUUCACCAUAAGGUUCUUGGUUUUUUUUAUCCGGAGAAGACAUAAGGUGUAAGCUUAUACUUCUAUUUCUUCAUAUAGUGGAAUACAUCUCUCUCGCUCUCCCCGUGGACGUAAGUAAUUGCCGAAACACGUAAAUCUUAGUUUCUUCUUUCUGCAUUUAUUUCUUUUACCGUUCGGUCGAUUUUCUCUAUUUUUCGUGCAUCCUUGUUGGUAGCACAUGACGGACGAUCCAUCCGGUUCCCAACAAGUGGUAUCAGAGCGUAAGGUUCGUGCUACAUCAGAGAUGUCGAAAGUCUCGUCUUCUAAGUUUGAGGUGGAGAAAUUUGACGGUAAAGAAAACUUCGAUCUCUGGCAGAGAAGAGUGAAAGCCCUUCUGGUUCAACAGGGCCUUCAUAAGGCAUUGCUCGGAAAAUCGAAAAAGCCGACAUCGAUGAGCGACGAAGAUUGGGAGGAUAUUAAUCUGCAAGCGGUGAAUACAAUUAUAUUGUGUCUAGCAGAUGAAGUGAUGUAUAACGUAAUGGAUGAAGAAACUACAGUCGGCAUGUGGGACAAGCUAGAGAAGCUGUACAUGACCAAAAGCCUCUCGAACGUGCUGUACCUAAAGCAAAAAUUAUAUGGACUACGCAUGAAGGAAGGUACGGCAAUAACGGAACACUUGAACACCUUUAAUAAAUUAUUGCGGAUUUGCUAAGCAUUAAUGUCAAGGUUGACGAGGACGAUAAGGCGUUGAUUUUUCUUACAUCACUUCCGUCGUCCUACAAUCACUUGGUGAUCACCAUACUGUACGGGAAGCAAACUCUAAAGAUGGAAGAUGUUACAUCGACACUUUUAUCUGAAGAGAUCAGGUUGCAGGCGAGUACCGAAGAAAGCAGUGCAGGUUUGGUCGUAAAUGAUACAAGUGGAGGAAGGGGACGAUCAAGCGAACGUGAUGCAGGUAAAGGAAGAUCCCGUUCCAAGUCAAAAUCGAAAAAGGUGAAGUGUUACUUCUGUAGAAAAAAGGGCCACAUGAAAAAGAACUGCGAAAAGAGGAAGGCUUGGCUGCGAAAUCAGAAUUCCUCUGCAGAUACGGCGAGCGUAGCGAGUGAUUCCGGUCAGGACGUCUUGACGGUUACAACAGAUUUUGACUCUCACGGUGACUGGAUAUUAGAUUCUGGUUGUUCUUAUCACAUGUCUCCAAACAGGUCUUUAUUUGAUACUUAUAAGUCUUGUGAAGGCAGUAGUGUUAUGAUGGGUAAUCGCACUAAUUGCAAGAUGGUCGAUAUCGGAACAGUAAAAAUAAAGAUGUUUGAUGGUGUGGUGAGGACGUUAACGGAUGUGAGACACAUUCCGGAUCUCAGGUUAAAUCUUAUAUCACUUGGUACUCUUGACUCUACUGGCUGUUCUAUUAGCAUUUCAGGUGGAGUUGUCAAGGUUAAAAAGGGUACCAUGGUCGUCAUGAAGGGAGAGAAGAAAGGGAAUCUGUAUAGGCUGAUCGGCGAGUCGGUGAUUGGAGGUGUUGCGGUAACAUCCCCAGAAGAUCAUGAUGCUGAUGAUACGGAGCUCUGGCACAUGAGAUUAGCCCACAUGAGUGAAAAAGGGAUGUUGGAACUGCAUAAAAGGGGAGUACUUAAAGGUAUUAAAUCCUGUAAACUUAAUUUCUGCAAAUAUUGUUUAUUUGGAAAACAGAAAAGGUUGAGUUUCAGGACAUCCAGUCAUAAAAGCAAAAGUAUACUUGAGUACAUCCAUGCGGACGUGUGGGGACCGGCUCCGGUGACUUCGAAAGGUGGUGCACGAUAUUUUAUUACAUUUAUCGAUGAUUUCUCUCGUAAGGUUUGGGUAUUCUUCAUGAAGGAAAAGUCUGAGGCAUUUAUAAAGUUCAGACAUUGGAAGAGUGAGGUGGAGAAACAAACUGGGAAGCAGGUCAAGGUUCUUCGAACGGACAAUGGUGAAGAGUUCACUUCUCGGGAGUUUAAGAAAUUCUGCAAGGAUGAAGGUAUUGUACGUCAUUACACGGUUCCAGGUACUGCACAGCAGAAUGGGGUAGCAGAAAGGAUGAACCGGACAUUGCUAGAACGUGCCAGAUCCAUAAGGUUAUGUGCAGAUUUGCCAAAUUUAUCCCUCUGAUUUAUUACCAUUAUAGUACUAUUUAUUUUCUAACAGAAAAUAAAUAAAAUUAUAUUUCUAUUAUUACAAAUAUGUCUCUCCAAAAGCCCAAUUAUUAAAAUUAUGAAGAAAUGUCCUCCAAAAAAUUUCCAAAGAUUUUCUUCUUCCUUUCUACCAUUACAAAUAAUAUAAAAGUGAUAAAAAGAUCAAUUUAGCUCAUUUACUAAUCAUGGGUAAGUAUUUUACGUUCCAAUCGUUAACUGUUUUUUUCUAACGGAUCUUAAUAAUGUUAAGAAUAUGCCUUCUUUUGAACUUGGGUUGAAUCAAAUUAGUUAACCCAUUAAGUUGGUUUAUAAAAGAUGGUAUAGGCUAGGACCAUGGAUUACAUCAAAUUGAUUUUCAGUUUAUUGGUGUAAGAUUUGUGUUUAUCUACACAUGUCCUCUCCUAGUCUAAUUAGGAUUGUUGACUUGUUGACCGCACCUAUAUAUAUACAUGCAUGGCUAUGCAACCGGGGAAGAGGCGUCAUGUGUGAGAAAAUUAAUUAGCAUCGGGCUAAUUAAUUCACAAGCUUCCGAGGCGUACGGCAGCAAGGAACCUAAUUAAUUAAGGUGGCUCCGUCCGUAUGGUUAGAGAAGAAGCACCGCGUCUUUGCAUGCGACGUCGGAUUGGAGUCGGCAGCAGGAGCGGCGGUUCUUAACCAAUUGCCUGAGCAGUUCGGAUUCUUCGAAGCAACGGCAUAAAGGAAUUUGGUUAGAGUUUCUAUACUUCUCUAAUUUGGUUCUCAGUUUUACGAAAAGCUUUUUCAGUAUUUUCUUGGAGUUUUCGUUGGAACAAGAAAGGUGGGAUUCACCAUAAGGUUCUUGGUUUUUUUUAUCCGGAGAAGACAUAAGGUGUAAGCUUAUACUUCUAUUUCUUCAUAUAGUGGAAUACAUCUCUCUCGCUCUCCCCGUGGACGUAAGUAAUUGCCGAAACACGUAAAUCUUAGUUUCUUCUUUCUGCAUUUAUUUCUUUUACCGUUCGGUCGAUUUUCUCUAUUUUUCGUGCAUCCUUGUUGGUAGCACAUGACGGACGAUCCAUCCGGUUCCCAACAAGUGGUAUCAGAGCGUAAGGUUCGUGCUACAUCAGAGAUGUCGAAAGUCUCGUCUUCUAAGUUUGAGGUGGAGAAAUUUGACGGUAAAGAAAACUUCGAUCUCUGGCAGAGAAGAGUGAAAGCCCUUCUGGUUCAACAGGGCCUUCAUAAGGCAUUGCUCGGAAAAUCGAAAAAGCCGACAUCGAUGAGCGACGAAGAUUGGGAGGAUAUUAAUCUGCAAGCGGUGAAUACAAUUAUAUUGUGUCUAGCAGAUGAAGUGAUGUAUAACGUAAUGGAUGAAGAAACUACAGUCGGCAUGUGGGACAAGCUAGAGAAGCUGUACAUGACCAAAAGCCUCUCGAACGUGCUGUACCUAAAGCAAAAAUUAUAUGGACUACGCAUGAAGGAAGGUACGGCAAUAACGGAACACUUGAACACCUUUAAUAAAUUAUUGCGGAUUUGCUAAGCAUUAAUGUCAAGGUUGACGAGGACGAUAAGGCGUUGAUUUUUCUUACAUCACUUCCGUCGUCCUACAAUCACUUGGUGAUCACCAUACUGUACGGGAAGCAAACUCUAAAGAUGGAAGAUGUUACAUCGACACUUUUAUCUGAAGAGAUCAGGUUGCAGGCGAGUACCGAAGAAAGCAGUGCAGGUUUGGUCGUAAAUGAUACAAGUGGAGGAAGGGGACGAUCAAGCGAACGUGAUGCAGGUAAAGGAAGAUCCCGUUCCAAGUCAAAAUCGAAAAAGGUGAAGUGUUACUUCUGUAGAAAAAAGGGCCACAUGAAAAAGAACUGCGAAAAGAGGAAGGCUUGGCUGCGAAAUCAGAAUUCCUCUGCAGAUACGGCGAGCGUAGCGAGUGAUUCCGGUCAGGACGUCUUGACGGUUACAACAGAUUUUGACUCUCACGGUGACUGGAUAUUAGAUUCUGGUUGUUCUUAUCACAUGUCUCCANNNNNNNNNNNNNNNNNNNNNNNNNGAUUUGCCAAAGGAGUUCUGGGCUGAAGCAGUAGAUAUGGCGUGCUAUAUUAUUAAUCGAUCUCCCGCCACAGCAAUCGAACUCAAAACACCGGAGGAAGUAUGGACAGGUAAACUUGCAGAUUAUUCCUCCUUACGGGUCUUUGGUUGUCCUGCUUAUGUCCAUAUCCAGAAAAAUCAGCGCACAAAAUUAGAUUCGAAGUCAAAGCCCUGCAUAUUUCUUGGGUACGAUAUGGGUGUUAAAGGAUACAAGCUGUGGGACCCUAUCGCCAAGAAGAAGGUGAUUAGCAGGGACGUAGUUUUUGACGAAAAAGUUAUGCCGCGUAAAGAUCAUCAGGAGGCUCAACGUGAAGAACAGUAAAAAACUACGCAGAUCCAGGUAGAGCGGCAAGAGGGUGUAGAUGAUCAGGUGGAGCAGCCCCACUAUCAGGAUGAUCAUGGUACACAAAGCGAUCCGAUUGAAAGCACUUCGGAGGAGCCCUACUCUAUCGCUAAAGGAAGGGAAAGGAGAUAGAUUCGUCCACCUUUACGGUACAGGUUGGAGGAUAUAGUAUCUUAUGCCUUAUUAAUUACAUCAGAUGAUCCCACUUCCUAUCAGGAGGCGAUGCAGGACAGAGAUAGUGGCAGAUGGAUAGCGGCUAAGAAUCAGAAUGAAGUGCAACAAUUAAAGGAUUAGUUGAGCCGAGAAUUCGACAUGAAGGACCUAGGAGGUGCUAGAAAAAUCCUAGGUAUGGAGAUCAGACGCGACCGCAUACAGGGUAAGUUGUGGUUGUCGCAGAAGACAUAUAUAUGAGCUAUUAUAAAGCAAUUUAAUAUGUCAGAGGCGAAGGCGGUCAAGACUCCAUUAGCCCAACACUUCAAACUUUCUGAGGAGAUGUGUCCCAAGACGGAUGAGGAGAUUACUUCUACGUCAAAGAUACCAUAUGCUAGUGCAAUCAGUUGCCUGAUGUAUGCUAUGAUCUGCACUAGGCCUGAUCUUUCACAUGCAGUUAGUAUUGUCAGUCGGUAUAUGUCGAAUCCAGGGAAACAGCACUGGGAGGCCGUGAAGUGGAUUUUGCGGUAUCUGAAGGGCACAUCAGAUAAAAGUAUUCUCUACUCGAAAGAUUCUGGUAAUGAUGAAGUGAAGGGGUUUGUAGAUUCCGACUAUGCGGGUGAUUUGGACAAGCGUUGGUCUAUUACAGAUUACGUCUUUCUGCUGUGCGGCGGACCUAUCAUUUGGAAAUCUACGUUGCAGCGCACUGUAGCCUUGUCAACUACAGAAGCGGAGUAUAUGGCGGAAAUUGAAGCAGCUAAGGAAGCAGUCUGGCUUAGAGGCUUGGUUGGUGAACUCGGGAUUGUGCAAGAAAAAAUGAUUAUCGGUUGUGAUAGUCAGAGUGCUAUAUGUCUCGCCAGGAAUCCAGUUUACCAUGGGAGGACAAAGCACAUAGAAAUCAAGUAUCACAANUAUAUAUAUAGUAGGAUGAAAAGAUUUGAUAAAAAAAUUCGAAAUUUAGUUUCUAUAUAUUUCAAGUGGUACAUAUUAUGUUCAAAGAUAUCGAUCGUUAAUUUGGAGGUUCUAUCAUCGAAAAUAAAUGAAUGACAGUAAAGCCUGUUUACUAGAUAGCAUUCGAGCUCAACUCUCUCUCUUUCUUUCUCUAUCUAUAUAUAUAUAUAAUAUUUUGAUCAAUUGACUAAUUAAUAUUAUCAUUUUAAAUUGAUAGAAUAUGAUUUUAGGUGGUGAAUUAGAAGUUGUGCAGUUAACAUAAAAAACUUGUCUGUAUCCAAUGGGUGAAAGCUCCAAUGGUACUGAUACGCAUAAUCCUUUCAAAAAAAAACAACUAAAAAACUUAUUUGAUUUGUAAAAAAUUAGCUGUGCCCGCAAUUAUUUAUCCAUCAUUCAUGUCAAUUAGCGUCGAGAUCAACCUUUCCAUUAUUAUUAAUUAUUCAAGUUACCAUUCGAGUUAAUACAACGGCUUCUUUCUUUCUUUAUUUCUUUUCUUUUUCUUUUCUUUUUUUUUUUACAAUUGGUGAUUAUGUGGUCCAUAUAUAAAAAGUGGAUAUUUAUAGAUAGCAAGAUUUGAUAGCGAAAACAUAUCUGUUCAUAGUACUGUUAAUUACUCUAUUUAAAUAUUAUCUUUUUAUCCUUCAAAAAAUAUUAGGGUUAAUUUUAUACAACUCUCUGUAAAUAUAUCGUAUCGCAAAUGUAUCCCUACAAAGUUUAACUUUUUAUAUUUAUUCCUAUAAAAAUUCAAUGAUAUUCAUAUUUAUCCCUCUGAUUUAUUACCAUUAUAGUACUAUUUAUUUUCUAACAGAAAAUAAAUAAAAUUAUAUUUCUAUUAUUACAAAUAUGUCUCUCCAAAAGCCCAAUUAUUAAAAUUAUGAAGAAAUGUCCUCCAAAAAAUUUCCAAAGAUUUUCUUCUUCCUUUCUACCAUUACAAAUAAUAUAAAAGUGAUAAAAAGAUCAAUUUAGCUCAUUUACUAAUCAUGGGUAAGUAUUUUACGUUCCAAUCGUUAACUGUUUUUUUCUAACGGAUCUUAAUAAUGUUAAGAAUAUGCCUUCUUUUGAACUUGGGUUGAAUCAAAUUAGUUAACCCAUUAAGUUGGUUUAUAAAAGAUGGUAUAGGCUAGGACCAUGGAUUACAUCAAAUUGAUUUUCAGUUUAUUGGUGUAAGAUUUGUGUUUAUCUACACAUGUCCUCUCCUAGUCUAAUUAGGAUUGUUGACUUGUUGACCGCACCUAUAUAUAUACAUGCAUGCCUAUGCAACCGGUGUAGAGGCGUCAUGUGUGAGAAAAUUAAUUAGCCCGUAUGCAUGCCUAUGCAACCGGUGUAGAGGCGUCAUGUGUGAGAAAAUUAAUUAGCCCGUAUGCAUGCCUAUGCAACCGGUGUAGAGGCGUCAUGUGUGAGAAAAUUAAUUAGCCCGUAUGCAUGCCUAUGCAACCGGUGUAGAGGCGUCAUGUGUGAGAAAAUUAAUUAGCAUCGGGCUAAUUAAUUCACAAGCUUCCGGAGGCGUACGGCAGCAAGGAACCUAAUUAAUUAAGGUGGCUCCGUCCGUACGGUUAGAGAAGAAGCACCGCGUCUUUGCAUGCGACGUCGGAUUGGAGUCGGCAGCAGGAGCGGCGGUUCUUAACCAAUUGUCUGAGCAGUUCGGAUUCUUCGAAGCAACGACAUAAAGGAAUUUGGUUAGAGUUUUUAUACUUCUCUAAUUUGGUCUUCUCGGUUUUACGAAAAGCUUUUUCGGUAUUUUCUUAGAGUUUUCGUUGGAACAAGAAAGGUGGGAUUCACCAUAAGGUUCUUGGUUUUUUUUAUCCGGAGAAGACAUAAGGUAUAAGCUUGUACUUCUAUUUCUUCAUAUAGUGGAAUACAUCUCUCUCGCUCUCCCCGUGGACGUAGGCAAUUGCCGAACUACGUAAAUCUUGGUUUCUUCUUUCUGCAUUUAUUUCUUUUACCGUUCGGUCGAUUUUCUCUAUUUUUCGUGCAUCCUUGUUGGUAGCACAUGACGGACGAUCCAUCCGGUUCCCAACAAAUAAUAUGUGAAUAUUUAAAAAUAUUAGAACUUUUAUGGGAAUAAAUUUUUCAUUGUAUUGUAGUAUCUUCAUUUUUCAAAUUUUAUCCCGAAAAUAAAAAAAUGUGCAUGGAAAAAAAAAAUUUCAUGAAAAGCUUUUCCCCCACAAAAAAAUUUUUUAUGCUUUUUUGUGAAAGCAAACACAUCCUUAAUUUUGGUAAUGGAACCUGUUCAGCAGGUUCCAUUACCAAAAUUUUUUAUUUCACCCUUUCCUUAUUGAUGGUCAGAUUUGAUUAUAGUCAUUGAAUAUAUUGAAGCAUUAAUUCUUCUAUAAUAUUUCAGUGUCAUUCUAUGUUAGCUUAAACUAUAGAAAAAGAAUAUAUUGUUUUAAAUCAUUUACUAGUCCACUUAUAUGCACGUGUUUCAAUUAAUGUUUCCUUGCUAAGAGAACCUUAAUUGCCGACAAUAUAUUAUAAAUACCAAUAAAUAAUAAUACAAAAAUAUUAUAUUGAAAUAAUAUGAAGCUUAAAUUUUAAUGAUUUAACAAUUGUUUCAUGUUAUUGGAUGUGCAUAUAUAUCCGAGUGGGAAAUUGAGUACAGCAGACUCCUAUCUUCAUUUAAUUUCUUUUCAUAUAUAUAUAUAUAUAUAUAUAUAUAUAUAUAUAUAUAUAGAAUUAGGCUACUAUACUAUCUAUGGUACCGGAGCUCCGGUACUAUAGUCUUGUUUUCGAUCUUAAGGUGUUCAAAUUAACGAUCCACACCGUUAAAUAUGAUAUAGGGUAUGUUGGUAGCCGAAAUCUACAAUCCCUGACCCGGUCAAAGAUCCUCCUCGGGGAGCGCGUAGGGAUGCGGAAUGGCUGUGGAUGGUGACCCUCGAAAUUUGCGCCAUUCGAUUGAUCAAGCGAUUCGGCUGACGAGGGAUCAGGUCAACCGGAUUCGAAACCUUUACAGCAAAUUUGGUUCGGCUGGAUGAGCCGAAUGAACAAAAGAAGUCAGAAUUUCAACCGAGGAAUGAGCCGAAUGGCUAAUACAGCACAAGAGCUGGUCGGCCUGAAGAGCCGAACACUGCCUUCUAUUGAAAGAGAAUAGAGAAAGUAUAGGAAAAAGGGUUUUAGUUUACAACGGAGUAAUGCCCAAAAGGCAGACAGACUUCAGGAUGCUAAGUUACAGGAACUACUCUUAGGAAAAACAGUAAAUGCGAGAAAGAAAGAUGCAGUAAAAUAAAUGUGGUCUUUUGUGCGCAGGGGCGAAGACCCCUUUUUGGGAUAUUAUUACCCUAUUUAUAGAUAGCCCCCUCGGUCAGUUAUUGUUCUUACACGAUCGGCCACUAUCUCCCAUAUUCCGGACCACUUCUAGCCGAUUGGAACCGCAUGUAACUGCUUGCGGUUACCGUAACUUCCUUCAAUUGGCGCGAUACACUUUUCCGGUGCUCCCGAUACACGACCGAGUAGAUGCUUUUGAAGGGAAUAUUCGCACCUAAAUCUCAUCCGCGCCUAAUUGGCUCAACAGGGUAUAUGAAGUUCUUAGGAAUAAAAUUUUUGUUUUUUUCGACAUCGUUUACUUCGUAAAUAAAUUAUGUCAAAAUAGACGGUGCAAAUUGAAUAAUUUUUAAAAUUUGAGUAUAGGACUUUUAAAUUCAAGAUCAAGAAUGUUAACCUUAAUCUAGAUAGUUUAAAGAAUUUUCUAUCAAAAUUUGAAGAAAUUUAGAUUCUUCUACACCGUUAAACUCCAAACUAGCCAUAGUAGCCAUUGAAAAUUGACAAUUUUGAAAUGGGCUUGAUAUAUCAUAAAGUAAACUAUGUCGAAAAAAUAUAAAAUUUUAUUUCUAAAAACUUUAAAUAUCCUAGAUCAGUGUUAACGGUGUGAAUCGUUGAUUUGAACACCCUAAGAUCGGAAAACGAGACUAUAGUACCGGAGCUCCGGUACUAUAGAUAGUAUAGUAGCCUAAUUCUAUAUGNGUAUAUAUAUAUAUAUAUAUAUAUAUAUAUAUAUAUAUAUAUAUAUAUAUAUAUAUAUAUAUAUAUAUAUAUAUAUUCUGAAAGCAAAUAAUUAUUUAGGAAAAAUACUGCUAUACAUAGAAAUUCUUGUGGGGAUCAAUUUUGUAGAGCUUGGCACCUAUGCUUUUGAAAGUACGGAAGCCUUUGUGUUUGUAAGUUGUUUUCGAUGAGGGGACAUCCGAUUCGGCGAUCGGCUCUAUUAGACAUGAUCUAUACUAUUAUAACUAUUUAGAAAUCAAAUUUCAUAAUUUUUUGACUUCAUUUGCCUAGUAAAUGAGUAGGCUCAAAAUGAAUGGCUGAAAAUAAAAAAAUUCCAUAAAAAACUAGUGAUAAAGGAAUCAAAUUUCAAAUCGAAAGUAUUGUUUUUACUCUUGAUGUCAAGUAGAAUUUUCUAUUAAAUAUUUAUAUAAUUUGGAUACUUCUACACCGUUGAACUUUAAAAACGUGCCACAUCAGCCGUUAAAAUAGUCAUUUUUGAGACCCUAUAAUCGCUUAGUAAAUAACGUCGAAAAAUUAUGAAAUUUGGUUUCUAGAUAGUUUUAAUAACGUAGAUUAUACUUAACGGAGCCGAUCGUCGAAUCAAAUAUCCGAUCAUCAAAAAUAAUUUACAAGCACGGAGGUCCUCGUAUCGAAAGUACGGGAGACGCACUCCAAUUUUGUAUGUUGGACCGAGUAUGGCAUUGGCUUGUAUGGGCUAUCACUAAUUUAAAAAAAAUGCACAAACAGAAAAUAGCAAAAAUAAAAAAUAAAAAAUAAUUACACAAAAAAAUGCGGGGAUUUACGUGGUUCAAUAACUUGUCUACACGGAAAAAAAAUGAGAAAAAUAUAUCUUUUAUAUGACAAAAUUAACUACAUUAUAAUCUCACAUUUUUAUAUUUCUCUCAAAUUAAAUAUAAGAGCUUUAUGAUUAUUACUCCUUUUGUUAAAUAUAAAAAUUUUUAACACCACUUUAUAUCAGCUUAAGAUCAUUUGUUUUACAUAUAUAGUAUGAGAGUAGGAUAUUCUGAGUUUCAAAUCAUGCCAGACUCUCAAUAUUAUUAAUUUUUUUUUAUUAAUAAAUUCAAACCCACGUUAUGACCUACAGAAAAUCUAUAAAAAUCGUUCUCUAUCAAUUUAAACUUUUAGAGUACAACAAUCCUCUCACAUUACUUGGCCCUUAAUCUCCUGUACAUAACUUUUCCAAAAUGCCAUAGGCUUAAUAAAAACAAAAUUAAAAUGCAUCCGCGUGUUUCGUGUGUACAUAAACUAUACAUGCAUUAUUCUUUUAAUUAGUGCACAUGCACAUAUAGAAUGGCAAUUAAAGUCAAAUCGAACUACUCCAAAACGCCAUAGGCUUAAUAAAAAUAAAAUUAAAAUGAGCGCAUCCGCAUCUUUCACGAGUAAAUUAAAAUGCAUCCGCAUCAAUCAUGCAUGCCACUACCGUCCAAAGAUGCUCAUUCACGCUUAAAAGAUUUGGUAGAUCCUGUGCACCAUGAAUUAGCUGAUAUAUAUUUAUAUACAUGUCUAUUUUGUAUUUUAAAUUUAUGGGCAAAUAAAUAUCUUUAUAUUUUAUACUUACAUUCAAAAUUUGCUACAUCUAAACAUUUUUUUUUUAACAAAAAAAAGCCUUGAAGCUAUCAGCUACACAAUCAUGUAAUCCUACAGGUGGCUUUCUAAUGGCCAAAUCUACUGCACUUAUUUUUUUUUUUUAAGAGAAAAGUUGUAUGCCAUUCGUUGGAAGUGUAAAAUAAUUAGACUUUUAACUUAAGACCUCAAAUACCAAUUGUCAAAUUUUUUCCUACUUGUGUUAGGACGAUCGAUUAUUGUGCUUAGUCUUAGAUUUUUCCGUUUAUAUGGUAAUAGUCUAAAUGCAGAGUGACCUUAGAUCUUCUCACCUUUAUAAAUUAAAGCACCAACAAUAAGUUCCACAUAGAGAGAGAAAUAGAGAGAGAGAGAGAGAAAUAGAGAGUGAGAGAGAACAUGGAGAGGAUGUUUGUAGUAGCUUUACUACUUCUCACAACACAUGCUGUUUUAGCCAUCGCGGCCGGCCCCUCCGUUAUCAUCGUCGGAGCCGGCUUUUCCGGUAACUAGCUAGCCUAAAUAUAUAUAUAAAGAAGAGAUCUAACUCGACAAAUGAAUGUACAAUCCAGUUGCGGCACCAAGGACUUCGAUCGAUAUAUAUAUCACUUUGUUUUUCCAACGUGUUCAUAAGGUAUUUCGGCGGCGAAGACGCUAUCGGAUGCCGGGAUCAAGGACUUUCUCAUUCUGGAGGCGACGGACCACAUCGGCGGCCGCAUCCACAAGACCAACUUCGCGGGGAUCAACGUCGAGAAGGGCGCGAACUGGGUCGAGGGUGUGAACGGCACCGAGGUGAACCCCAUCUGGGUCAUGGCUAAUGAGCUCAAGCUAAGAAGGUUCUACUCCGACUACGAUAACAUCUCCUCCAACACCUACAACCAAGAGUGAGUACUUGCAUGUAUAAUUAUUAAGGACUUUGCACGGCAAUGUACUUCUCUUUUGUUUUUUUUUUUUCUAGGGGUCCUUGGAUUAUUACUUUGUUGAUGUUGAUGGUCCUUUAUUCUUUUCUCUUUUUUCUUUUUUUUUUCUUUCUAAAAUCGGUGGAGGGGUGGGCUGUACGGGAGUUCGGAGGUGGGGAAGGCUAUCGAGGAGUCGGAGAGCAUCCACAGCGACGGCGAGAAGCUCUCGGCGAGGCUGCCGCCAAGCGGCCGCAGCGACAUCUCGAUUUUGACAAUGCAGCGCCUCAAGAACCAGUAGAUCACCGUUCCUGUGGCCUCUAUAUAUAACAACUCAACCUUUCUCUUUACAUCUCUAAUAUUUAUAAAUUAGUAGCUUAAUUGCUUCUCUUUCUGUUUUUUUUUCAAAAAUUUUUUUAUAGAUCCAGUUCAUAUUUUUAUAAGUCUUACCAAAAUGCCUUUAUUCUAUCUCUUCUAUUUUUCUCUCAUCCCUCUCGCCUCUUUAGAUGCCGUUGUUCUUGUCGUUCUCGAUGUUGCCCCCUUCCUCUCCCUUCUCUUCCUCCUCCUUUUUCGUUCUCCGCCUCCAGGAUAUGGACAUGAGGGCGAUGAUCUCAAAGGGUUUCCUCUUGACAACGGUGGGACGGAGGUCGAAAAGGCCGAGGUUGCGAUGGCAACAAUGUGUUCGCGAUGGAGGAGGAGAAGGAAGAGGAAUGAGAGAUUGAUGUCUUCCUCCUCAUUUUCUCCUUCUUCUUCUUCUUCUUGUUCGUGUUCUGUGUAGUUCUUUUAAUAUUAAAGAUAAUAAAAAUAUUACAUGAUUUGACUAUUUAUUAUAUCUUUUUAUAAAUAUAAAAAAUUUAUAAAAUAGUAUAAUUUACUGUUAAAUAGUAUAAUAUAUAGUCAAACUUUUGAAUGUAGGUUGUAUGAUAUUUAUGGUCUCAUAUUAUUUGGUCUAAAAAAUUAUGUCCACUUUUUUCGUCAUUUAAUUUAAACACAGCCACAUAUAUGCAUAUUAAUUUGCAAAAUGUUAUUGAAUCUAUUUGUAAGGAUCUCCAAACUCAGCUUACUCGACUAAGUUUUGAGACUAAUCGAUAUAAAAAUUGUAGAUUUAGAGUCAAAUCUGGUCAAAUCUCGGCCGAGUGACAUAAAAUUCAGAAUCUGAGCGGUCCGCUAAAUUAUAUAUAAAUAGUAAAAGUAUUGAGACAUAAAUAUAUGAAAAGUACAAAAUAGUAAUACCGAAUGUUUUUACCAUGGACAAAAGUUAAUAAUUAAAUAACUGUAGAACCCUCUAUUUAGGGUGUAUAUCUAUGGCGUUUUGAACUAACUAGCUAAUGUACGGUUCUGCAAUUUGCAUGCAUGAUAUGUACGUACGUAACGCAGUGUUCCGACGAGUGCACUGGACAUGGUGGUGGACUACUACAGCUACGACUACGAGUUCGCAGAGCCGCCGCGGGUGACGAGCCUGCAAAACACCGUCCCGCUGCCGACCUUCGCCAGGUUCGGUGAGAGUGUCUACUUCGUCGCCGAUCAGCGCGGCUACGAGAGCGUCGUCUACCACGUCGCUCACCAGUUCCUCAGCACCGACAAGGCCUCCGGCGCCAUUAACGACCCCAGGCUCAAGCUCAACAAGGUCAGGACCUGGGCCUCCUCCCUCUUUUUCUUCAUUUGUUUGCUUAUUUAUUUGUUUAUUGUUGUUAUAUUUUUCUUUAUUGUUGUUGUUGCUGCUGCUGCUAUUUGUGUUUACAUAGGAAGGGUAAGGGUAAAUUAUCAGUGUUGUUGGUCUCAAACUAUAUUGGGCGAGUGAUGCUAUAUUAUUAUUACUAGUGAAGGCCCGCGCUUCGCGGCGGGACAUUUAUGUAAUUUUUAAAAUAUUUAAAUAAUUUUUUUAAUUUUUUAAUUUUUAAAUCUAAUUUUAAAAUUUAAACUUCAAAAAUGAAGAGAGUAAAAUUUAAAAAAAUGUUUAAAUAGAGAGAAAUAAAAAAAUUAAAAUCUGAAACACCCAAUUAAAAUUAAAAUAAACGCUGUAUGCUAACUAUUAAAUUUAAAAUCUAAAUAUAAAAAUAUAAAAUCUGUAAAUUUAAAUUUUAAAAUCUCUCUCUCUCUCCCUCUCUCUCUUUCUCCCUCUGGCUCUCUCUCUCUCUCUCUUUCUCCCUCUGGUCUCUCUCUUCUCUCUCUCUCUCUCUCUCUCUCUCUCUCUCUCUCUCUCUCUUCUCUCCUCCUAUCGCCCCUCUCCCUCUCUUCUCUCUUCCCCUCUCUCCCUCAGUCCUCUCCCCACCCCACCCCCCCCGCCCCCCCAACCCGCUUGCGCCUACCCGAGCCCCGCGCCCGUGCCUGCCCCUCGCGCUCGCCUCCGCCCUGUUUGCCGCCACGCGCCGGUGCCCGCGCCCGGCGCCCGCCUGCAGGGAGGCCCUAGCCCGCGCGCGGGUCAGCGCGGAGCUCGCCACUGCGCCAGCGACCGCGCCGCGCGCCCCCUCGCGCUGGGGAGAGGAGGAGAGGGGGGGGAGAGAGAGAGGUGGGGGGAGGAGAGAGGACAGAGAGGGAGAGAGACGGGUGUGGGGGAGGAGAGAGGGGUGGGGGGGGCGGGGGGAGAGGGAGAGACAGGGAGAGAGCCGGAGGGGGGGAAAGAAUAGGGAAGAAAGAGGGGGGCCGCGCACCCGCGGAAGCGGGUCGCGUGCAGGGCGCGGCCGCGGCACCCGCCGGUGCGGGGGCCGCGACGUGGGGAGAGAGAGCGGGAGGGAGGUGGGGGAGAGAGAGAGAGAGAGAGAGAGAGAGAGAGAGAGAGAGAGAAAAGAGAGAGAGGCCCCCGUGCGCGGGGGCGCGGGUCGGGUACCCCGGCACCCCCGUGUCCCCUCUCUCUCUCUCUCUAUCUCUCUCUCGCUCUCCGCGCGACCCUCGCGCGGAAGCGCGCCGGGCGCGGUCCCCUUGGGACCCCUCUUGUCCCCCCUUCUCUCUCUUGUCUGCUUCUCUCUAUCUCUCUCUCCCUCUCUCUCUCUCUCUUGCUCUCUCUCCCUCCCUCUCUCUCUGUUCUCUCUCUCUCUCCUCUCUCUCUCUUUCUCUCGCGCGCGAGCUCCCGCAAAAGCGGGGAGCUCGUCGUACAAACUCUCGAUUAUAUAGUUUAUAUAUAGAUUUAUUAUUAUUAUUGUUGUUGUUGUUGUUGUUGUUGUUAUUGUUAUUUUGCUUCGUUAAUUUUACUUUUCAUAUUCGUAUGCAGUGUAUAUCGUUUAAUAAUGUCUCCUCUUGACCGAUGGUCUCUAGAGUAAGUAGCAAAAAAUUUGAUAGUUGAUAUCCGAGAUUUUAAAUUUAAUCCUAAUUAAUUUAAAUUUAGCUAAAUUAUUUUUAAAUAAAUAAACGAAAAACUAGCAUGUUAUCUAUCUCUUAAAAAAAUUUAAAAAAAAAGUCUCCUUUGAAUUUUGGCAUGUGAAAGAGCGAUAGAUCCACAUGGCACUCCUCAACUUACUGCUAAGAAAGUACCACUCAACACUAUACACACAUAUAUAUAUAUAUAUAUAUAUAUAUAUUUAUAUAUAUAUAUACUAUAUAUAAAAGCACGUAUAUUUAAAUUUGGGUCUGUCGACAGACCCAUUUUUUGGCGGAAAAAUUAGCGCCCAUUUUCUUCUUUCCGUACGAAAAAUUUUAAAUAUAAGAAUAAAAAUAGAAAUAAAAACAGUAAUCAAUACGUAAGUUCUCUAUAACAGAUUAGAGAUCUAAAAAUCCUAAAAUAUAAAUUUUUUUAUUUAAUUUCAAAAGUAAAUUUUUUAUAACAGAUUACGAGUGUGAAAAUCCUAUAAAAGAUAUUUUUCUAUUUUAUUUUAAAAUAUCUUUUUUAGAUAUUAUCUAUUUAAUUUCAAAAUAUAUAUUUUUUUAAGAUAACGGAUUUUAUUUUUCUAUUUAAUUUCAAAAAUUUAUUUCCUAACAGAUUUUAUUUUUCUAUUUAAUUUCAAAAGUAAUUUUUGCAUUAGAGAUUAUUGUUAACUAUUUAUCAUUUAAAGCAUAUCUUUCUUAAUAGCGUGAUUUAUUAUUUUAAAUUUUUUAGAUACAUAUUUGGCAAUCAUAUAAAAUAUGGCCUAAAAUUAAAAAAUAAUUUAAAAAAAUUAUAACUUUUUCUAAUAAUUAUUACGGGUAUUUGCACGUACAUUUUACUAGUAUAUAUAUAUAUAUAUAUAUAUAUAUAUAUAUGGUUGGUGAGAUUGUUGUUUACAGUGACUCGAUUGCGUUUGUAAUGUUAUAUUCCACUCAAUGCCAAAGGACAAUUAUUACCCUCACACUAUAUGCCUCCAUUCAAAAAGGUCAAAAUCUAAUAACAUCAAUAAUUUAAUAUUAUUAAUAAUAUAUUAAUCUAAUUUUUACUGUACAUAUAGAAUGGUUUGAUUCAAAAUUUAUAGAAUAUUUUAAAAAUAUUAUACAUUUUAUAUUUGAAAUGUUAAAUUUAUUAUUAGUUUCAAGCCACUUGGGUUGGAAGGAUGAUAGAAACUAAUAUUUUUUAUUAAUAAAUUAUUAAUUAUUUUCAUCAACUAUACAAAUAAAAAUAAGCAAUGUUGGUGGUACAUCCUUUUGGAGUGUAGGAUAUACGCCCCAUCCUUGAAUGGAUGGGAUGUAUCUACAAGAAGCAUUUUCCAAUAAAAAUAUUUUCUAAUUCAUAACAAUUUAAUAUUUUUAUCACCUAAAAAUUUAUAAUAAUUGUACUAAUUUACUAAUGAUCUUUUACAACUAUUUAAUUGUAAUUAAACGAUAAUAGUUUAAAUAUUUUCAAUUAAAAAUAUAAAAAUUAUUAAAAUAUUAUAAACCACGAAGCAAAGGGUCUUAUUUUAUUGCUAUCCAGAGAGCAUUGCUCUUUGAAUAAAUUUUUAGGCUUAAUUGCAUAUAACUCUCUGUAAAUAUAUUAAAUAGUAGAUAUGUCCUUAUAAAAUUUAACUUUUUAUAUUUAUUAUUAUAAAAGUUUUACCGUUUUCAAAUAUAUGUAUAUUGUUAAGAUUCGUUAGAUAAAUAUAGCUAAACAUAGGUAAAUAUUUAUCCUAAUUAGUGAAUGAGAUAAAUUGAUCUUUUUACUCCUUUUAUAUUGUAAUAAUCCUAUUCACUUAUAAAAAUAAAAGAUGACCGUUGAAAUUUUUGGGAAGAUAUUUAUGCAUAAUUCUAUAAGUUAGGACUUUUAAAAGAACAUAUUUAUGAUGGCAAAAAUAUUAUUUUAUUUAUUUUUUGUUAAAAAGUAAAUAGUGUUCUAACGAUAAUAAAUCAGAAGAAUAAAUAUAAAUAUCACUGAACUUUUAUCAAAAUAAAUAUAAAAAAUUAAACUUUAUAGAGAUAAAUUUAUUAUUCGAUAUAUUUACAUUGAGGUUAUAAUUAACCCUAUUUUUAAUUGUAAGAGACUUGUAGUCCAAUAAAGAUAGGAUUUAUAAAAUAUAAAAUGGUGUCACAGUUGCUUCGAGAUCUAUGAUUUUCUUUUCAUUUUUUAUUUUGGAGAUGCUUAUCUGGUUGGUUUUCGUGUCUCCUAUCUAUAUAAAUAAAAGGAAAAGAUACGUUCAUACUUGUUGUAGAUUUUUUUUUAAAAAAAAAGCUAAAGUGUAAAGUUUAGUAGAAUACUAUAGGAAGAAUAUUGUUAGAAGCACAUAUGUCUCCGUAAUUCCAAAUUAUUUUUAGAUAAUAAGAUAUCUUAAUUAAUUAUUGCUAUGUUAGAUAUAAUUUAUACUGUUAAAAUAUUUAAAAAAUAAAUUUCAUAAUUUUUUGUAUUACUUAAUAAUCAAGAGAUUUCGAAAUUGCUAAUUUGUAAGGCUGAUGUGACAUGCUUGUAUAUAGAGUUUAACAGUAUAAAAGAAUAAAAAUUUGAUAAAAUUUUUAUUAUUUUUUUAAAUAAGAUAAUAACUGUAAUUAGAAACUUAAGUGUUUUAUUAUUAUCAUUUAUGAUAUUUUUAACUUUAGUCGUUUCUCUUUAGAGUAUUGGUUCACUAACCAAAUAAAUUGAAAAGUUAUAAGAUUUAAUUUUCAAAUACGUUUAAUAGUGUAAAUUAUGUAUGACAGCGUUGACCGUCUAGUUCAAUAACCUAUCAUUAAAAAGUAAUUGGAAGUACAGAGUACAGAGACCUCCGUGCCUCAUUAUAUGCUAGCUGUACUCAAAUGAAAAAAUGUUUUCUUGAUUUAUUGCUAUUUGUAUUUUAUCAAACUGGAAGGAUCAAAACAGCAAGGAUAGUUUAUACUAUUGUCCGCUUAAGUAUUAUUUGGUUCGAAUAUAAGUAAGAACUGUCUAUUUCAGGAUAGGUAUAAGUCCGGAUAUAAGCAAGAACUAGAAGUGGGCUUCGUUGGCCCGACAUGAAUCUGGCCUUUUUUUUUUUUUCGAGCCGAGUAUGGCCCGAUCGACUAGUCCUCGGGCUCUUCAAUCUGUUUAAUUAAACGGAUCCAAAUGUGGCCCAAGAAUAUGGCUAUAUAAUAUUAUUCGAUUUUGGUAUUGACCAAAAAAUUCAUUCAUUCUAGUUCUAGUAUUAUUUAUUGACCGAAAUUGAUCAGCUAUAAUAAAUGUAAUCUCUUUCUAAAAACAUUAGAUGUUUUAAUAUUCCUUUUCGAUCCAAAAUAUGAAGUUUUACUUUUUGGACUUUUGCUCCUCUCAAAUUUGCUUUAAAUUUUGAAUUUAAAUUUAAAUUUAAACAGGUGGUGAGGCACAUCAGUCAGUCCUCGACUGGUGUGACUGUCACAACAGAGGAUGGGUCGGUGUACAAAGCAGACUACGUCAUGGUUUCUGUCAGCAUCGGGGUCCUCCAAACUAAGCUCAUCAAAUUCGAACCAGACUUGCCGGUAAGUUGCAUAAACACAAAAAGGAAUCAAACUACUCACAUGUUUUUAAGUUCCAAACAGAAGUUUUGAGCUUUGAAUUAUACUAUCAUUUCAUUGGCUAUUUGUAUCUUAAAAACUUAUAUCGAAGUGUACGUUUUUGAUAUACCAGAGUUGGAAGAUCUUGGCGGUAUAUCAGUUUGAUAUGGCCGUCUACACCAAAAUUUUCCUUAAAUUCCCAUACACGUUCUGGCCUGAAGGGACAGGGACGGAGUUCUUCCUUUAUGCAAGUGAACGGAGGGGUUACUAUCCUGUGUGGCAGGUAAAAUGUUAUCAAAAUAUAUGAAACAAUCGAUUUUCUUGAAAAGGUUAAUCGAACACUUCUCCUCACGUCUGAUCUCAAGAUUUUCUAGUAAGCCAAAGACAAGGGGUUAGAUUAAAUUCAAGAAAGUUUUGAAGUGUUCUUAGUUUGGUUUAGACCUGGCAGUAAGUUAAGAAUUGCGCGCGUGGUUUGCAGCAAUUUGAGAAGCAGUACCCAGGAGCGAACGUGCUGCUGGUGACGGUGACGGACGAGGAGUCGAGAAGGAUCGAACAGCAGUCGGACGAGGAGACGAAGGCGGAAGCCAUGGAGGUGCUGAAGAAGAUGUUUGGGCCCAACAUCCCUGAUGCCACGGACAUACUGGUGCCCAGAUGGUGGUCUGAUAGGUUCUACAAAGGCACCUUCUCAAAUUGGCCCAUCGGUGUCAACCGCUACGAGUACGAUCAAAUCAGGGUAAUAUAUAUAUACAUAUAUAUAUAAACACAAAAUCUAUCCUAUACAUAUUUUUUACUUACAUAUUUUAGUUUCUGAAUUUUCUUUUAAAAAAAUACAUAUAAUUAAUACAGUAAUUUAGUCUCAGGGUAUAAAAAGAAUAUAAUUUUUUCAUAACAUGAAGCUUGUCAUAAUUAAAUGAUUGAUUCACUAAUCCCAUGGUGUGUGUGCGCGCCUGCUUGUCAUAAUUAAAUGAUUGAUUCACUAAUCCCAUGGUGUGUGUAUAUAUAGAGGCCGGCUGGGAUACUCUCGAUAGCACCAAGAAUUUGGUGCUAUCGAGUUUUCCACCGUUAGAUUUAAUCUUUUGAUUAUUUUUAUCCGUUAGAUUGUACUAUUCAAUCAACCACUUACUCAACCCUAGGGGGCUCACAUCAUCCUAAGCACACAUUUUUUAAUCAAAGGGCUAAAAAAUUAAUAGCACCAAUAGUUUUGUACUAUUGAUAGUAUUCCAGCCUAGUUCUCUCUCUCUCUCUCUCUCUCUCUCUCUCUCUCUCUCUAUAUAUAUAUAUAUAUAUAUAUAUAUAUAUAUAUAUAUAUAGUGUAAAAUUAUUAUGCUAUCGAAAUUAUAGAGAAUUUGAUACUUCCGAUUCUUUCACCUUUGGAUCAAGAAUUGUACGGUUGGAAUGAUUGCGGUCCCCCCUACGGUUGAGUGGUGGUCCCUAUAGGAUAAUAGUAUUAAUCCAAAGGUUAGAAAUGAUUAAAGAGACUGAUCUAAGUAACGAAAAGUCGAAAAUACCAUAUUCUCUAUUACUUCCGAUAGCAUAGUAUAUAGUUCGACUAUGUUGCUUCCGAAAGUAUAAAGAAAUUUGUGUGACUUUUUUAAUAUUUGGAUCAACCCUUCAAUCAUUUCUGGCUCUGAGAUUACUAUUAGUCCUCUUACUAGACCACAAAAUCCUAGCAGGGACCACUAAACCUUGGGGGAACCGUUUUCGUUCCAAUCCUAUAAUUUUUUAUUCAAGAAACAAAAAGUUAGAAGCGACAAUUUUUUUAUACUUUUGAAAACAUAGUAGCUUUAUACUAUAUAUCUAUAUAUAUAUAUAGAGAGAGAGAGAGAGAGAGAGAGAGAGUUAAGUAAUUUCCAAAUAUUUAUUUGAAUUUUCUGGUCUGGUUAGGGCUGUCAGAGAAGUUCUAGAUUACAGCAGAGUUAAUAAAAAAAAAUACUCAAUAUCUCUUUGUCACAUUCUACCCAGCUACAUUUUGCUAUAAUAAAAAUUUCAAAUUAAAAAAUUUCUGUUUUUUUAUAACCUAAAAUAAAUCUUAUUUCAGCUUAUCUUGCAUUUAACGAAAGCUUCGACUAGUAGUUUACCAAACAUCCAUCUGCUGCUUCUGGGAACAGAUAAAAUAUUCACAAACGACUAAAUUGACUAGCUCAAAAUGCAUCAGUACUUAAAGUGUACAUGUGAGAUAUUAAUAGUGCUAUUUUGGUGCUCCAUUUGUAGGCACCUGUUGGGCGGAUUUACUUCACUGGGGAGCACACAAGCGAGCAUUACAAUGGCUACGUUCACGGAGCAUAUCUUGCAGGCAUAUACAUACACACAAAAUGUUUCAUGUUUGACCAAAGACAUUUUGUUAUUUCUCUACUGAGUUGGGAUGUUAAUACACUUGCGCAAAUUACAACUAAUUGCAGGCAUUGAUUCUGCCAACAUCAUGAUCAAGUGCAUCAAGCACGGUUUCUGCAAGGUCCAAAUCAAGGACAAGGACUCCUAAGUUUCGAAAGGUAAUUGAUGUUCUCGAUCGCGAGUUUCUACUUUUCUAUUUAGCUUGGUGUCUGCAACAGUUUCUUCACUCAACGACCGUCCCUAGAUCAAGUGGCAAAAGGCUUGUUGGUUGGUAUCCGAGGCCUAAAUUCGAAUCCUAGUUGAUUCACAUUUCUAGCUAAAUUUAUUUCUGAAUGAAAUAAACGAAGUGGAUAGCGUGCUACCUAUCUCUCAAAAAAAUAAAAUAAAAUAAAAAAACAGUUUCUUCACUUCAGAAGUAGAGCCAAUAGGCCUUGCCUAGCUAUGCAAGAAUGCCUAGAAAAUGAGUUUUUCAGCCCAACCAGGCGUGAGAUUCAAAUUAAACUACUUUUAGAAAAGGGUUGAUUGCACAUAGCUGCUACUUUUUCAUAUCUAUUUAAUUGUAAUUGUUGAAGAAAAUAAUUUCAAUUAGAGAUAAAUUUACGCAUGAAAUUAUAAGAAAUAAUUUUUUUCUUUAAGACUUGUACAUAUAGUUUUCAUCUAUAUACAACUAAACAAAUUACUUCUAUCCAAAUAUAUAUACAAGGUUAUAAUUGUCGUAUAUUUAAGUAUAUGUAUUUAAAACUAUGCCGUAUUUACAGUUGCGUCAGACCAAACGACUCUUUUUAGGGGUGGAAACGAGCCGAGCUCGAACGAGCUUACCUCGGCUCAAAUUCGGCUUGAAAUUAAUUUCGAGCUUAAAUUUAAGCUCAAGCUUGGAUUGAAAUUAAUUCGAGCCGAGCUCGAGCGAGCUUAAUUUCGAGUCGAGCGAGCUCGAGCCCUAAACGAGCCGCUUGAAAUUCUCAACAUCAUACGAUCAAUAGUUUAAUUUGUAUAGAACAGUAUUUAUAAUUUGAUACAAAAAUAUGUCUAAUAGUUCAAAGUACAAAAUAAUUAUAUAAAAUACAGUAUUAUAAUAUGAAAAAAAUAAUUUAUGAGUUGAAUAUCUAAUCUUUUCAGCCUCACAUGUCUUUUCUUCUGCCUUCAAUCUUCAUAUUAUUUAUUUUAUUUUCAUUUAUGCAGUCAAAAAUAAAUAAAUUAUAUAGAUAAAUAUGGAUAAACUAUCCAAUCAUAUAUAACAAAAAUUAAAAUUUAUAUGAAUAAUAAUUUUUACUUUAAAAAUAUUAUGUAUAUUUUUCUCAAGCAUACAAUUAAUAGCAAGGUAGGCAACGGCAGCAUAUACUGUUACUUGGUAACUUGGGAGAGCUUCCGACUGGCCGCUUAGGGUGAGAGACAGAAAAAGAGAAAGAGAGAAAUAUAUUGAAAAAUUUAGAGUUCUGUGAAAGAAAGAAGAAAGGAAAAAUGUAUAAAUUUAGUAAAAUUUGCUUUUUUUUUUUAUUGUCUAUUUGGUUUGUUUUAUGGGGCAACAACAUUGGCCAAUUUUAAUUAAACUUAAAUUAUUCACUCAGCCUAUAUAUAAUUAAAAUAUAUUAUAUUAAUAUUUUUAAAUAUAUAUAUAUAUAUAUAGUGUAGAACUAUCAUGCUAUCGAAAAUAUAGAGGAUUUGAUGUUUUCGAAUUUUUGACCAUUUGAUUAAAGAAUUAUAUGGUUGGGAUGAUUGCAGUCCCUCCUAGGAUUAAAUAAUAUCCCUAGGAUUGAGUGGUCCCUACAAGAUAAUAAUAGUAUUAGUUCAAAAAAAAUGAUUAAAGGGGUUGAUCUAAGAAUCAAAAAAUUGAAAGCAUCAUAUCCUCUAUACUUUCAAUAGCAUAGUAGUUCUACUAUAUAUAUAUAUAUAUAUAUAUAGUAGAACUACUAUGCUAUCGAAAGUAUAGAGGAUACGUAUAUAUAUAUUCGAGCUUUUCGAGCUUUUCGAGUUUUUCGAGCCUAAUUCGAACGAGCCGAGUAAUACUCAAGCUCGGCUUGAAAUGAAUUUCGAGCCUUUUUUUUUGUUCAAGCUCGGCUCAUUUAAUUUCGAGUCGAGCUCGAGCGAGCCAAAUAUCGAGUCGAACGCGAGUCGAACGCGAGCCGGCUCGCUCAUUUGCCAGCCCUAGCUCUUUUGUCUUUAUUUAGAAGGAUGAAAAGCUGUUGUGAGGUACUGCAUAAAUAAAUAGGCCCAAAAAGAAGAUUUUGGAUGACCACAUAUUUCAUUUGUAAAAUAAAUUCCUCAUUUAGUACCACAUUUUAGUAUGGUAGUGCAUGAUAAUUGCUGUGAAAUUUAAUUAUCUUUCACUUCUCUUUGCAGGUAAUAUGAUCAAUAAGAUGCCAUAAUAUUGGAAACGCAAAAAGCGUCGUAUCUCCCUGAAAUUUUAUUCUGAAAUUACGCUUCUUCCAUUGUAUCUUUUAUUAGUUUUUUCCUUGGAAGGACAUUAAAUUGGAACUUAAUAAACAUGCAUGCUUGAUUAUUGUCUACGCAAUUAUAUCGAAAGAGUAAUGCCAUUAAAAAAAAACUGAUUUAAUUCUUAGAUUAUUAAGUUUGGUCUUUUUCACUGCUUGAAUAUAAUCAGAUUCAGUUAACCGGCCUGUCUGUUCCUCUUAAAAUUGGAUCUGUUGAUAUCGCUUCCACACUCAAAACCAAAAUUUAAGGAGAAAACACAUCUAACCUAUGAUCAAGAUUCAAGAAUAGCACAUGACUGCUAUAGAAAACAAGCUAUAGUUGGAUUCCUUGAUUCUCAAGUUGUAUUAGGCUGAAUAUAUAUUAGAUGCAAGUGUACAAAGUAUUUGUUUAAACAUAUGUGAAACAAUAGAAUGGUAACAAAAUUUAAAAUCCCCUACACUCCCCCUCAACCUAUGCAGCUGGAUAGACAACGCAUAAGUUGUCCUGAAAAGUUUCAAAUUUGAAAGUAGAAAGACUAAGGGAUUCAAGUGCAAAUAGCAGGCUGUAUCGACGGAAAAGAAAUUGUAAAAUGGAGAUAUCUCUAUAUAUUUUGUACCAGUAUGCUGCACUGGAUUAGUGCCCAUAUAAGUUGUACUAAUAUUACCACAGUAUACAUGAGACAUGUUUGGUGUUCGUAACAUGUAACUCAUAGAGUAGCUAAGCCAACCAAACAACAUCAGCAACAGUUCUAGCCAUAGCCCUAUAUUCAGCUUCGACGCUUGAGCAAGAAAUAGCAAGUUAUUUCUUAGAGACCAUGAAAAAGAAUGAGCAUCAAAAUAACGGGAUUGAAUGCUGACUUUGAUGGCAAGUGACCUAGUAUGUAUUGGAAAAAUGCUUGAAGAGUUAGUGAUAUUUGCAGUCAAAAGAGGAUAUCUUAGUGAGAUGAUCCAUGUAAAUAAUAUAAAUACGUUUUACAACCUGCAUAUAAGGAGUUCUUUUAAGUAGGAUUCCCUAAUUCCCAGAUUGUAUUAGAUUGAAUAUAUAUUAGAUUCGAGUGUAUAAAAUAUCUUUCUAGACAUAUAUGAAAUUACAGAAUGAUGAGAUAUUUAAAAUUUUCUACUACUUCUUCAAUUGAAUGUGGCUCAAAGAUUAGCACUAGAAGGGAAAAGAAAACGAAAGGUUUGGUGUUGAUGCAAAUAUCAUUAUCUCUUGAUAGAUAAGUGAAAGAAGAGAAACAAACCAAGAAUGAUUAACUAAAUCCUCCAAGCUGUACAUUAGUGCCCAGAACAGAGAUCCUGCCUGAACUUGGACCACCACAUCAGCUGUGGACUGUAAGCACAUCUUGCCUUAUUCCAAAUUAUCGUGUGCAUAUAUAUAUAUAGGCCAUGGCUACUAUACUAUUAUGAGUAUUGAAGCCCUCGUACUCAUAAGUUGUUUUUGAUGAUGGAGCUUCCGAAUCGACGAUCCACUCCGUUAAAUAUCAGCUAGAGUAUUUAAAACUUCUAGAAAAUAAAUUUCGUAAAUUUUCGAAAUCAUAAUAAAGUCCAUCAAGCGGACAUAAAAUGAACGGUCAAAAUCGAACGACGUCCUAAAAAUGGAUGAUCGGAUCCUUCAAUUCAAGAUCAGAGUUAUUGAUCUUUAUCUAGGUAGUGAAUAGAAUUUUCUAUCAAAUAUUCAACAAAUUUUAAUUCUUUUACGCCGUUAAACUAGCAAGUAUCUCAUACCGGCCGUUAAAAAUUAUAAAUUUUGUGACCUCUUGAUCGUGAGGUAAAUGAUGUCGAAAAAUUAUAAAAUUUGAUUUCUAGAAGUUAUAAAUGCUAUAAAUAACGUUUAACGGUGUGGAUCGUCGAUUCGGAAGCUCUAUCAUCGAAAACGACUUAUGAGUACGAGGGCGAUCGUACUCAUAAUAGUAUAGUAGCCGGACCCUAUAUAUAUAGUAGGGCUAGAAUACUUGUAAAAGUAUCAUGGGGGUGAUACUUGUGUGUUUUUAGCCCUUGGAUGGAGAGAUGUGAGGUUGAGAUGAUGGUGGUAGGUAGUGGUAGGUGGUGGUAGGUGGAAUAGUAUUUAAUCCAAGGACUAUUAAUAAUCAAAAAGUAAAUCUAAUGACUUAAAACCUAAUAGCACCAUGAUGGUGAUACUUGUAAAAGUAUCAUAACUCAGCUCUCUCUCUCUCUCUCUCUCUCUCUCUCUCUAUAUAUAUAUAUAUAUAUAUAUAUAUAUUGAAGAUGAGGAUUGAAACCUGAAAUUCAAUAAACAUCAAUAUAUUGAAAUCAGAGUUUCUUUUUUUCUUUGGAAGGUGUGGAUUGAACAGAAAAACACAAUGAAGCGGAGGUUGUUUAUAGGGCGGUCCACCACUGACCUGGUGCACCAGGUGGACGCAACAAAAGGUAAAGCGAGGUACUUUAGUCCUGUAUCGACUGUAGCGAAGAACGGAAGGGGCGAGGAGAGUACAAGAGGAGGCCUCCAUGCGUGAUUCAAACUCAUACCUUUCUCGGCCUUUUGGCUAAGAUCAAGUGUAGUUUCUGUUCUUAUCAGUUUAAUAUCUGAUACGUGGGCCAUGUGCCCACCUUGAUAUUAAAUUAAUUUUUUGUGGGAGAGGGCCCACCCACGGUAGCUUGCUACCGGGGCCCUCGUGUGUUGCCCUUGCGUUGCACUACUGCUCGGGCUUGGCGCAUCCCUACUAAGUCUAAAUGCUCAAAUGCUUUUAAUUUAUUAAUUAUUUGCUUAUUGUUCUUGCGUAGCGUGAAAGUUUUCUUCAAAAUAUAUUUUUUCGUACAAUUGUGGAGUGGGCUAUUUUAUGAAUCUGAAUGGAAAAACUAUUUACACGCAAGAUCAAAACUAUGGCGAUAAUUCAUUUUCCUCUCUACUUCCUCUCAAUAAUGUGUGAAACAGUUGGGCAAUGACAUAAUAGCAAGUUAUGGGCUAAGAGGUAUAGUGAUGCAAACGGGGCUGACUUAGGGGCGGGAGUCCCCUCUCGCGUCCCGUUCCGAGUAUCAAAAUCGCACCUGCCGUCCACCCGGAAUAUAUGAUGGGUUAAGAAAUAUAUAUCUCAUAAUCCGUUUCGCCUCACAAUCCAUUUUCUGCCGGUGCUCCAAAUCCUCCCCGUCAAUUUUUUUUUUAAAAAAAAUUAUAAUAUUAUUAAUAUUUUAUAAAAUAUAAAUUAAUAUUUUUUUACUAAUAAUGAAUAAUGUUACUAAGUUAUGUAUAUAAUAUUAAUAACAUCAAUUAUAAAAAGCAAAAUUCAAAAGUUUUAAACACAUGAGAAAUGAGAGCACCAAUUUAUUUGUAUUUUGGACUUUUUUUGUAAAUAUAUUAUAUUUUAGAAAUAUUCUUUAAAAUAUAAAUAAUUUUUGGUGUGCAUUCCAAGUGAAUCAUGGUAGGGCAGAUUCAAGACGGAGCAAAAUUUUUUUCGUUUCCUGCCCCGAAUCCGUUUCGGACCAUAAAUAUUACUCUAUUUUCUGUCUCGAAUCCGUUUAUUUAUUUCUAUUUACUGCCCAAUUUGGGACGGACGUUCUACCAACCGGGAUCCGUUUGCAUCGCCAAUAGAGUGGAGAGCUGGUAGUAACACUUAGGAAAACCUUAAUGCAACCAAACAACCUUAAAUGAACCCAAGGACACAUUUCAUUCGUUACGGUAAUAUAAUAUUAGAUUACAACAUAUGUAGGAUUACUAAAGUUGGUUCAAUUUAAAAUUCAGUAAUCAUGACAAUAAAGUGUAUUCUAUUCAAAUUAUCAUUUAUGAUCAUAUUUAAUAUUAUUUUUUAAUAAACUUAAAUUAAUAUAAUUUGUAUUUAAUUAAUUUUAUUAAUAAGCAAUAUAAGACAUAAAUAAAAAAAACUGCACAUGAAAACAAUUUAUAAAGCCAAAUUGGUUAUAACCCAUAGAAGAAUAAAUAAAAAAUAAUCAUAUUACAUAAUAAUAUGAUCAUACAAGAACAAGUAGUACAUUUUAAUUUAAAAUUUUAUUUAUAAGCAAUAUAAUUAACCAAAUAUCCUAAGAAAUGUCUCUUCAGCCCCAGCUUAUUAAAAGACCCAUUUUUCUUAAGAAAUCCACCCCAUGUACAAAAGCCCACCAUUUCAAUCUGAUCUGAAUUUUAUUGUUUCUCGUCUCGGGUAGUGCCGAAAUCCGAAUUUUAUCAACUUUUUGACCCCAAUUCCUCAAAUUAGGAUGAGGGUCUUCUUUAUAUAUCUUUGGAUUUGGCCAUUUGGGCAAAAUUUAUUGUUUUUUGCGUUCUCUUGGGCGUUUUUUCAAACACCUGAUGUGCAAGAUCUGAUGUUUUGAUGGAAUUUAAUAAUUUAGGAAUGUAAUGUGAGUCGUGCUGUGCCCCGAACGGAUUCAGCCUAGGGUUGGCUUGGCCUGGCCUGACCAGGUUACAAAUCCGACCGACCCGUGCCGGCCCGUUUUCUCAGAGUAGAAGGCCUAGCCCGGCCGCUUGGCCUGCCCGGCACGUGCUGUGCCGGGCCAGGCCGGGCUUCGUGCCAGCCUAGUAAAAGGCAUUUUUUUUUAUUUCUUCCCAACCGUCUUUUGUUAAUUUUUUUAAAAUUUUCUUUUUUAGAAAAAGAGAUAACUAAUUUUUAAAUUAUACGUUCUUGACUUUUUUUUUUUUUAUUUACACAAUUAUACCCAACUUUUUUUAAACUCUUGUAACAAUUUUAUAAAUUUUUAAAAAAGCUAAAAUACUAACCAUAAAUUUAACUUUUUAAUAUCAUUAAUUUUUAAUAUUAUAUAAAAUUUAAAACACAGAGAUCAAUAAUUUUAACUUUUCAAUUAUAUUAGAUGUUUUAAUAUAAAUUUUUUAACUUCGGUUUCGUUUGGGAUUGUAGGAAGAUUGUGCUAUGUGCAGUGAGAAAGUACGAUAGAAAAAUGUCCUAUUUAUUACUAUACGUAAUAUUGCGUUCCGCAAAUCGCGAUGAGUCGGUUAUGACAUAUUUUCUGCGGUUCCAUCGGAGAACGCAGAAACAUAUCCUUGUAUACUUUUAUCCCAACUCUAUUUGAUCUAAUAGAUUCAGAUGAGCCUCAAUACCAAACUAAGCAUUACAUUUUUUUUGAUCCAAUAACCAACUUUAAUAAUCAACCGUAACUUUAAUAAUCAAUCGUUCCUAGCACAAGUGGCAAAGGACUUGGUGGUUGGUAGCCGAGGUCCCAAGUUCGAAUCUUAGUUGAUCCACAUUUCCAGCUAAAUUUAUUUUUAAAUAAAAAGAACGAAGCGGGUAGCAUGCUUUCUAUCUCUCUCUCAAAAAAAAAAAACUUUAAUAUAAGAUUAAAUAUUGUGUUGAGAAUGAAAUUUUUGUAAAAAAAGAAUGUUGUUGAAAAGAUUAAAAAAAUUUGUAAAGUAAACUUGAGAUGGAAAAAAAAAUUAGCUAGAAAGUUUGAGAGUAGGAAGAAUUAUUGUUUGUAGAAAAAAAUGAAUGAAUAUUUGUUUGUUGUAAUAAAAUUUAGAAAUUUGUAAAAGUAUUUAUAGAUGUAAAAAAAAUUUAAAUUUUUUUAAAAAAUAAAAAAUAUUUUUAAUCAAAAUGCCUUAUCCAACAGUCAAAUUUUAGAAUGUUAGUGAGGGCAUUGUGGUCAUUUUGACCAAAAAGAUGUCUUUUUUAAUAUUUUUACCCUCUAUGGGCCUGUUUGUUUUAACGGAAGUGGGGUGGAAGUGGGAAAGGGGAAGUGAUAUUCGGUGAAAACAGACCACUUCCGCUGUUUGGUUCACCGUAAUUUUAUUAUCCCCGAAAAUCUAGUUCACCCAAAAUAAAAAAAAUUGACUUCACCCUCCAUGGGGCGAAGUCAAUUUCGGUGAGGUGAAAAGAGGCAAGAGUAGGAAUUAAUGUGUUAGGGCUACCCUCUUCUCUACCCUUUCCUCUCCCGAGUCCCGACCCAACUCCACAUCGUCAUUUUUUUUUUUUCUCAGUAGACACCACAAAAGAAAAUUUGAUCUUGUCUAAAAUAUGAUCAAAUUUGGUUAGGAAAAUUUUAAUAUAUUUUUUGUUUAAUUUGUAUAUUUAGAAAAUGAAGAAAAAUGAAUUUGUUAGAUGUUAAUAAUUUUUUAACUUUAGAAUUUUAUUUGUUGCAUUAUUAUAAUUUAUAUGCAAACAAAUAAUAUAAUUUUUAAAAAUUUUAUUUUAUAAUUAUACAUAUAUAUAUAAUUAUAUACAUAUCUAAUUAUAUUAAUUUUUAUUUAUUAUAAUUUAUUAUUCACUAAGUUACAAAAUAGCCAAUGAUAUCACUUCGGAGGUAGGUAUACCGGAGGUGGAGAGCUAUACUUUUUACGUCAUCUACUUCUUAUCAAACAAACAACAGAACUCGCAGAACUGCACUUCCACAAUUAGAAACAAACAGCAGAAGUGAAUUAAUUUUCAUCCCAACUCCAUUUCAACCCAAAGUCCACUUCCACCCCAAAUUUACUUACGUUGAAACAAACAUGCCCUAUAUAUAUAUAUAUAUAUAUAUAUAUAUAUAUAUAUAUAUAUAUAUAUAUAUAUAUAUAUAUAUAUAGAGAGAGAGAGAGAGAGAGAGAGAGAGUUCGGCUAGGAUAUUAUCGAUAGCAUCAAGCGUUUGGUGCUAUCAAGUUUUCCACCGUUAGAUUUAACCCUUUGACUAUUUUCACCAUUUAGAUUAUACUAUUAAAUCAAUAACUCACUCAACCCCAGGGGGCCCACAUCAUCUUAACCGUUCAUUUUUUCAUCCAAGAGCCAAAAACCUAUUUACACAAAGCUCUUGGUGCUAUUAAUAGUAUACCAGCCUAGGUCUACAUAUAUAUGCUGGGGCUACUAUACUCUUAUGAGUAUAAAACCCCUUGUACUAAUAAAUUUUUAACCGUUGAUUGAUGGGUUGUGUGGUUAGGAUGAUGGUGGUCCCCACUUAGAAUGAUAGUGGUCCCCUAGGGUUGAGUGGGUAGUUGGUUGAAUAAUAUGAUCUAACGGGUGGAAAUGAUCAUAGAAUAAAUCUAAGGGACAAAAACUUAUGAGUAUAAGGGAGCUCAUACUCAUAAAAGUAUAGUAGCCGGACUCUAUAUAUAUAUAGCAUAGUAACCAUGCUAUGCGACGAAUAGAUAAUUGGAGAAAAUAUAGAAAAUAUCGAUAAAAAAAGAGAAAACGACGAUAAAAAAAGCGAUGAUGAGGGGUGUGAUUCAUCAUGUCGAUGAAUGAAAAUAACAGCCGAAGGAAAAGUAAGAGAAAGGACUUGAGCUGGUUCGGUGUGGAGUCCACACUCAACCAUGAAGGAAAAGUUGCCACAUGCCAACUUUAGGAGAAAUAAUGUAUAAUAAAGUAUAUAUACAGAGAGAGAGAGAGAGAGAGAGAGAGAGAGAGAGAGAGAGAGAGAGAGAGAGAGAGAGAGUUGAGUUGGAAUNUACAGAGAGAGAGAGAGAGAGAGAGAGAGAGAGAGAGAGAGAGAGAGAGAGAGAGAAAGAGAGUUGAGUUGGAAUGCUACUAAUAGCAAAAGGACUCCAUUGCCACCCAUUUGUUUUCGAUGAUGGAGCCUCUAAAUCGAUGAUCGACACUGUUGAACAUCAUCUAUGCCACUUGAAACAUCUAAAAACCAAAUUUCAUGUUUUUUCGAUAUCACUUUUUUGUCUAUCAAGUGGAGGCCUCUGUGCUACCAAAUUAUUUUCGAUAAUGCAGCUUCCAAAUCGACGAUCGGCUCUGUUAGACUUGAUCUACACUAUUGAAAGUUUUUGAAAACUAAAUUUCAAAUUUUUUCGACAUUAUUUGACUAGUGAUCAAAAGAUCUCAAAAUUGACAAUUUUAAUGGCCGAUGUGGUGUGUUUGUGAGUUUAACGGUNCCAAAUUGACGAUCGGCUCCGUUAGACUUGAUCUACACUAUUAAUAGUAUUUGGAAACUAAAUUUCAUAAUUUUUCGACAUCAUUUGGCUAGUGAUCAAAAGUCUCAAAAUUGAUAAUUUUAAUGGUAGAUUUGAUGCGUUUGUGAAUUUAAUGGUAUAAAAUAAUUCAAAUCUGAUAAAAUUUUUGUAGAAAAUUCUUUUCACUAUUUAGAGUAAGAUCAGUAACUCUUGUCACGCCCCGAGCUCUGCCAAUUUGGUCGGAUUCGGGCACGUCGGCAGACCGCCGAACGGACAGAGCUUCCCCUGUACGUUUUAGGCGUAACAAUCUAAAUAAUGCAAUACGCGAGGUUCCAACCAGGAACAGUAGCAAAUAUAUAGAUUGCAGAAGUACCAAAAACAUAAAAUGACAACUAUACUAUUACAAGCAUUCAUCUCAAGAUUUUACAUUUACAUAACCACAUAUACCUUUAAAUUAUUACAACUUAUACAAAUUUGAUACAAGUUUGUUUCUUUCAUACUUAUACUCUGAGCUAGACUGCUUCUGGGUACUGCUAUCUCUGGUCUCGGUGGUAGGGCGCUAUCUAUGAAGCUACGCCCUGUCCUCGCGCCGUCGCGCCGCUCACGUACAACCUGUACCCCCAAAACAAUAUGGGGGUGAGAACUAUAUAAAUAUAGUUCCCAGUGGGUACGGCCACCCAAGAGAAGAGCUCGACCCACCAGGUCCAAAGGAGGCAACAGUAGGUUAGUUCAACAAAUAGAUAGAUAGAUAUUUGACUAACCAACAAAUAAAACCAUACCUUGCCUCGCUGCUAUGCAAUAUGCAAUACCUGUAAAUCAUGUAAGUAGAUUACUUGAUUCUACUUUAUAUCAUUAACCAUUCUUUACUUGUAGCCGUUCUCUUCUUUCUUAGUUGUUCUCGUUCAUUAGCUAUUUUCUUUUUUAUUUACUCUUUGUCAAAUUAUGCUCACUGGCGAUUCUUUCCUAAGGUUAUAUUACCUUAGCCAUCUAUGCCACUCGACUCGGUCUUGAGUCAAUCAUCCGCGGAGUACCGCGUCAGGUCAGACUCGAGGUGAAGGACGUCUCACAAACACCUCAGCCUUAAGUCCACGCGACACUAGGUCCAUUACAGGGAGAGGAGAACCGUCGAUCCCCGUGACCCUAAGUCGCUCAAGCUUAACGGGCGAGGAGAACCGUCAAACCCGUUAGCUCAUACCGGGAGAGGAGAACCGUCGAUCCCGUUGAAUCACUACCGGGAGAGGAGAACCGUCGAUCCCGUAGUUCCGAUUCACUUGUUUCAUGGCAUACCGGGAGAGGAGAACCGUCGAUCCCGUUGAAUCACUACCGGGAGAGGAGAACCGUCGAUCCCGUAGUUAUGAUUCUACUCUUGCCAUCACACCAUUCCUAGGGAUUCCGGAACCCACUUUCACAACUUAAGGGUUUACUCUUUUACCCUAUGUCGACGACUUUUCUAGGUCUAUACUAUUCACUUUCUAGUGGUCCUAUUGCCAGUACUAUAAUUCAUAACUUAGUUUACUUUUACUGAGUGUUUCUUUACAUCAUAACCUAGGUUCAUUUACACUAGGUUUCAUGUUCCUUCACCUAGAUUUCGACUCUAGGUUUACUAAUUCGAUCUAUAUUCAAUGACACUAGGUUCAUUUCAUAUCCAACCUAUGUUUUAAGAACACUAGGUUCAUUUCAUGUCCAACCUAUGUUUAAUAACACUAGGUUCAUGCCACUCGAUCUAUACAACGUCUAACCUAGGUUUAAUAACUUAGGUUUCAUGCCACUCGAUCUAUUCAUUAUCCUAGUUAUCCACGCCUAGAAUUAUAAUUUGCACAUUUUCAUUUACUUGGUUACCGUCCAGAUUUCUACUCAAUUGGAGUUGUCGAUUUAUACCCAAUUCUUAGAGAUUUAACAUGAGGUUCAUAGUUUACAUAUUCUCACUUAUCUUGUUACCAUCGAGGUUUCUAAGCAACUAAAAUUAUCGACAUUCAUAUAGCUUGAACUAUAGUACAUUCACUUUCAUAUAUGUUUAGACAUAGGCAUUAAACUUUCACUUUUAUGUGGCAACAUUUAUGUAGGCUUUAGCUUCUAUGUUCACAAUUCAUAUUCAGCUUACGUGCCCUUGGCAUUUAUAGGUUUACCAUUCAUAUAUCAUGUAUUUGAACAUAUGAAUUUAGCAUAACUAUGCAUCUAGUUUUCACGUUCAUAUAUCGACAAUUAUAUGUAUCUAGCAUGAUCUACAACAUAUUCAUAUGCCUCUAGCAUGUUUACCAUUAUACAUCAUCUAGCAUUAACCAUAAUGUAUUCAUAUGUCAUUAAUCAUAUAUGCCUACGCAUAUGCAAUUAGCAUUAAUGUUCAUAUGUCGACAAUCAUAUUCAUAUAUGCGUCAAAUGAAACCAUAUUUUACUUUGGCAUGGAAGUGACCUAAUCACUUCGGUAAAGCACAACCCACCUUUAUUUGAUACCGGAAUGAGAGAAAUCCGUUUCUCGCACCUUUCCAAGAAUCGCGACCCGCGCUCGCGACAAUUGAUGCCGAAAACGUCUUUUUGGUGAUAUCUUCGCGUAGGCUCGACGGAUUGCCGAACCGACUUCACCAAUGCGUUUGUUUUACCCUCAAUUAGGUUUGUACGCGGUCAAUUUCACGUUAGGACUUCUAUCCUGCAAAAGUGCAUUAUCGGGGUCAGUUUCUAUAGAAACCUGUUUCUAUGAAAUUUCACAAUUGACAUAGAGUAAUUCAACUCUUUACUAGCCUAAGAACCUUAAACAAUUAGUUUAGAGGUCUCACAUCAAUCCCUAAUAAAGGAUUACAAAAAUCUGCCCAAAUAAUUCGAUUCCAUCUUUCUCUCUAUCUCAUUUUCUUUCUUUCAUUUUUCUUCUUAUUCUUUCUUGCUUUCUUUCUUUCUUUCUUUCUUUCUUGCUUUGUUUCUUUCUUUCCUUUCUUUCUUUCUUGCUUUCUUUCUUUCUUUCCUUUCUUUCUCUGCAGGGCAGCUGCUGCUGCUGCUCAGCAGCUCCUGCUGAGCUGCUGCUGCUCCUGCUGAAGCUGCUGCUGAGCUGCUGUUGUUGUUAUUACUGCUGCUGUUGCUGAGCUGAAGCUGCUACUGCUGCUCCUGCUACUGCUGCUGCGCAAGCUGCUGCUGCUGAGCUGAAGCUGCUGCUGCUGCUCCUGCUACUGCUGCUGCACAAGCUGUUGCUGCUGCUGAGCUACUAUUGCUGCUGCUGCUACAACUAGUAGCAGCAGGGAGAGAGAUGAGAGGGAGAGGUUAAACUCUUACCUCUUAUCUUCUUCUUUUUCUUCUUCUUCUUCUUCUUCUUCUUCUUCUCUUUUCUCUUCUUCUCUUUUCUCUUCUUUUCUCCUUCUCUCUCUCUACGUAUGAAGAAUGAGCUGAAGAGAGGAUAAGGAUGGCCCUGGCAGGUUAGUGGAAUUCCACUAAUAUGGUAAUAAUUACCAUAAUGCACCUCGACUAAUCCGUUUAGCAUCUCGGAUCAGAUACCUUUCGCAGGCCCUUCCAAAUAUCUGAUUGAGCUCAAAUUUGACAGGCAUGCUCGGUUUUACUUAACAAGUUCACUGAAAUUUUAACAUUUCAGUUUCGACCCCGUUUGGUCACUGCGAACUGUCCCGAUCUGUAAUCUUUAUCAGAUAACUUUCGGAUGCUAUUUCUCUCUCUACAGGUGGCAGAAUAAUAUGAAACUUCAAAUCUAGCCUCAUAAAACCAUUUCUGACAUCUCUGCCAAUUUUCAUAAUUUUCUGACACUGUGCAUUUUCUGCUAAUUUCUCAGUCCCAUGCUUUACAGAAAAUUCUAAAUCUUCCGUUUUCGCUCCGAUUUCAACACGAGCCAUUCCAGACUUAUACUUUACACCCUUAAGUCCAAUCAAAUGGUAUCUCACACCAUUUUAUGUUAUUUUGCUCACUUUAAUUCUUUUAAUUAAAGUUAGCAUCGGAAAUCCGAAAUUCUCUCUACAUUUCUUUUCGCACCCAAUUUGCGCCGAAAUACUUAUUUAUCUCCAGAAUUCAUUCACACGCAUCACAAAUCACUCGGGGAGGAUGUCCAACUAGCUCAAUCCUCACUUUGAUCUUCUAGAUCAAAGUUGACAUCGCAACUCCAAGUUUCAGUAUAUUACAACUCUAAUCUUAAAUUCAAAUCUUUUAUCAUUAGUUUUUAUAAGAUUUUUAUUUUUAGCCGUUUAUUUUUAGACUACUCGUUUGAUAGGUAAAUGAUGCCGAAAUAUUAUGAAAUUUAGUUUCCAAAUACUUUCAAUAAUGUAGAUCAAGUCUAAUAGAGCUGAUCGUCGAUUUGGAAGCCGCAUUAUUGAAAAUAACUUGGUAGCACGGAGGCCUCCGUACUACCGAUAGUAUACCAGUCUAGCUCUCUCUCUCUCUCUCUCUCUCUCUCUCUCUCUCUCUCUCUCUCUAUAUAUAUAUAUAUAUAGCAGGACUACUGUGCUCUUAGGAGCACGGAGGCCUCCGUGCUCCUGAGCCGUUUUCAGUGAUGGAAUUUCCGAAGCGACGAUCGGCUCCGUUAGACUUGAUCUAACGUAUUUGAAGUUUCUAGAAAAUAAUUUUUUCGAUUUUUCGAUAUCAUUUACCUAAUAAUCGAAAGGAUUCAAAAUCAAUAAUUUUUAACGGCCAAAAAUAAAAAUUCAAUAAAAAGUGGUGAUAUAGCACUAAAAUUUUCUAUCAGAAAUAUUGAUCUUGUUGUAGAUAGUAUAAAGAAUUUUGUAUCAAAAUUUCAUCUAAUUUGAAUACUUCUACACCGUCAAAUUUAAAAACGGCAGAUAUCAAACAUUAAAAAUUUAUUAAUUUUGAAUCCUUUCGAUCACUAGGUAAAUAAUAUAAAAAAAUCGCAAAAACUAUUUUCUAAAACCUUCAAAUACGCUAGAUCAAUUCUAAUGGAGCUGAUCGACGAUUCAAAAAUUCUAUUAUCGAAAACGGCUCAGGAGCAUGGAGGCCUCCAUGCUCCUGAGAGGACAGCAGCCCUACUCAUAUAUAUAUAUACCUAUAAUUAUAUUAUAUAUAGUAUAUAUAUAUAUAUAUAUAUAUAUAUAUAAUAUAUAUAGUAUAUAUAUUCUAUAUAUUAUAUAAGUCGCGCUACUAUACCUUAUAAUACGAUGCACUCACGUACCAUAAAUUGUUUUCGAAUGAUAGGCGUCCAAAUCGCGACGACCACUUCCGUAAAUGUUAUUCUAGAGCAUUUGAAUACUCUAAAAAAAUCAAAUUUCAUAAUUUUUCGACAUCAUUUACCUUACGAUCAAAAGCUCACAAAAUUGACAAUUUUUAACGACCGGUAUAGAAUACUUGCUAGUUUAACGGUGCAAAAGAAUCCGAAUAGGUUGAAUUUUUGAUAAAAAAUUCUAUUUACUACCUAGAUAAAGAUCAAUAACUCCGAUCUUAAAUUGAAGGAUCCGAUCAUCCAUUUUUAAGACAUCGUUCAAUUUCAACAGUUCAUUUUAUGCCCGCUUGAUGGACUUUAUUAUAAUUUCGAAAAAUUACAAAAUUUAUUUUUUAGAAGUUUCAAAUACUCUAGAUCAUAUUUAACGGAGUUAAUCGUCGAUUCGGAAGCUCUAUCAUCGAAAACAACUUAUCAGUACGAAGGGCCCAAUACUCAUAAUAGUAUAGUAGCCCUACUAUAUAUAUAUAUAGGGAAAACUUCAAGAAACCCCCCUGUGGUUUCAUAGUUUCUCACUUUGCCCCCUGUGGUUUAAAAUGUAUCAAAUUGCUCUCCUGUGAUUUUGUUUUUAUCUUUUCGUUAGCUUUUUCGUUAAUAUUUCUUUAAAUUAUAUACAAAAAACUCUAGAUACUCAUCUAGAUUUAUCAAAUAUUCACUUUAGUACCCUUUAAUUUUAACUUUAUCACUGAUUUAAGAAAAAAAUAAUGAAAUUGAUAAGAAAAAAAAAAAAAAAGAAACCACAGGGGGGCAAAUUGAUACAUUUUAAACCACAGGGGGACAAAGUGAGAAACUACGAAACCACAUGGAGGGUUUUUGAAGUUUUCCUAUAUAUAUAUAUAUAUAUAUAUAUAUCGCUAGGGCUACUUUACUCUUAUGAGUAUUAGCCCAUUUGUACUCAUAAGUUUUUCAUCAUUGGAAGAAGGGAUGUGCGGUUUUGGAUGACCCUAAGGUUGGCUGGGCGGUUGGUUGGUUGAAUAUUAUAAUCUAGCAGGUAGAAAUAGUAAAAAGGAUAAAUCUAACGGACUAAAACUUAUGAAUACAAAAGGAUCUUUACUUAUAAGAGUAUAGUAGCUGAACUCUCUCUCUCUCUAUAUAUAGUGAGAGUGAGAGUUUGGCUACUAUACUCUUAUGAGUACGAUCGCCUUCGUACUCAUAACUCGUUAUCAAUGAUAGAACUUUCGAAUCGACGAUUCAUGCCGUUAAACAUUAUACAGAGUAUUUAAAACUUUUAGUAAUUAAAUUUUAUAAUUUUUUAUCAUAAUUUACCUCACGAUCAAAAGAUCUCAAAAUUAAUAAUUUUUAACGGCCGGUAUGAGAUACUUGCUAUUUUAACAGUGUAAAAAAACCGAAAUCAAUUGAAUUUGUGAUAAAAAAUUCUAUUCACUAUCUAGAUAAAGAUCAAUAACUUCGAUCUUAUAUUGAAGGAUCCGAUCAUUCAUUUCUAAGACGCCGUUUCAUUUUGACCGAAAAAUGAAAUUUAGUUUGCAAAUACUUUCAAUAGUGUAGAUCAAGUCUAAUGGAGCCGAUCGUCGAUUCGGAAGCAGCAUCAUAGAAAACAACUUGGUAGGACGGAGGCGUCCGUGCUACCAAUAGUAUAGCAGCCUAGCUCUCUCUCUCUAUAUAUUUAAAUAUAUGAAAUUACGGAAUGAUAAGAUAUUUAAAAUUUCGUACUACUUCAAUUGAAUGUGGCUUAAAGAUUAGCACUAGAAGGGAAAUGAAAACGAAACGUUCGGUGUUGACGCAAAUAUCAUUAUUUUGUAAUAGAAUCAAGAGAUAGUUGAAAGAAGAAAAACAGCCGAAGAAUAAUUAAUUAAAUUCUCCAAGCUGUAUAUUAGUGCCCAGAACAGAGAUCUUGCCUGAACUUGGACUACCAGGUCGGCUGUGGACCGGAAGCCCAUCUAGCCUUCAUUCCAAAUUAUCAGUAUCCAGUAAAAAUUAUUAAACAAAAAUCAGAUUUUCUUUUUUUGAAGAUGAGAAUUGAAACCCGUAAUUUAAUAAACAUCAGCAUUUUGAAAUCAAAGUUUCCUUUUUUUUUUUGGAAGGUGUGGAUUGAAAAGAAAGACGCAACGAAGCGAUGUUUAUAAGGCGGUCCACCACUGACCUGGUGCACCAGGUGGACGCAACAAAAGCUCAAGCGAGGUACUUUAGCCCCAUAUCGACUGCAGCGAAGAACGGAAGAGGCAAGGAGAGUACAAGAAGAGGCCUCGUCCGUGAUUCAAACUCAUACCUUUCUCGGCCUUUUGGCUAAGAUCAAGUGUAGUAUCUGUUCUUAUCAGUUUAAUAUCUGAUAUGUGGGCCAUGCGCCCACCUCGAUAUUAAAUUAAUUUUUUGUGGGGGAGGGCCCAUCCACGGUAGCUUGCUACCGGGGCCUUCGCGCGUCGCCCUUGCGUUGCACUACUGUUUGGGCCUGGCGCACCCCUACCAAUUCUUAACAGCAAAAUGUUUUUAAUUUAUUACUUGCUUGCUGGGCUUGCGUACAAAGGAAGAAUGGUGAAAAUUAUUCUUCAAUUUUUUUUUUUUGUAUAAAUCUGGAAAGGCCCAUUUUUGGAAUCUGAAUAGAAAAAUUAUUUAUACACAAGAUCAAAACUAUAGCGAUAAUUCAUUUUCCUCUUAACUUCCUCUCGAUAAUGUGUGAAACAGUUGGCAAUGACAUAAUAAAAUAGUAAGAAAUAAAAAUACAGUCAGAGGCUACAAUAUUCAGAGAAUCGGAUUUAUAUGCAAACCUCCUAUGGUUGUCAAGUUACGGGCUAAGAGGUAUAGGUAGGAACGCAAAUGGGGCGGGUCCGGAGGCUGGAGUCCCCUCUCGCGUCUCUCAUGUCCCUUCCCAAGUAUCUCCCACCCCGAAUAUGUGAUGGGUUAAGAAAUAUAUCCCAUAAUUCGUUCCGCCUCAUAAUCCAUUUUCUAUCGGCGCUCCGAAUCUUCUCUGCCAAUUAAUAUUUUUUUAAAAAAAUUAUAAUAUUAUUAAUAUUUUAUAAAAUAUAAAUUAAUAUUUUUUUAAUAAUAAUUAUAAUAUUACUAAGUUAUGUAUAUAAUAUUAAUAAUAUCAAUUAUAAAAAGCAAAAUUCAAGUUUUAGACACAUGAGAAAUGAGAGCACCAACUUAUUUGUAUUUUGGACUUUUUUUGUAAAUAUAUUAUUUUUUAGGAAUAUUUUUAAAAUAUAAAUAAUUUUUGGAGUGGAUUCCGAGUGAAUCAUGGCACUGCAGAUUCGGGCCGGGGCAAAUUUUUUUUCGUUUCCUACCCCAAAUCUGUUUCGGACCAUAAAAAUUACUCCGUUUUCUGUCCCGAAUCCGUUUAUUUAUUUCUGUUUAUUGCCCCAUUCGGGAAGGAUCGGGACGGACGCUCUACCAACCAGGAUCUGUUUGCAUUGCCAAUAGAGCGGAGAGCUGGUAGUCACACUUAGGAAAACCAUAAUGCAACCAGACAACCUUAAAUGAACCCAGGACACUGUUGGUUCAAUACGGUAAUAUAAUAUUGGAUUAUAGUAUAUGUAGGAUUACUAGAGUUGGUUCGUUUUAAAAUUCGGUAAUCAAGACAAUAAAGUGUAUUUUAUUCCAAAAUUAUCAUUUAUGAUCAUAUUUAAUAUUAUUUUUUAAUAAACUUAAAUUAAUAUAAUUUGUACUUGAUUAAUUUUAUUAAUAAGCAAAUAUAAGUAGAGGUGGAACUGGGCCCGGGCCUAAACAAGGCCCGGCCCGAUGGGCCAUGUUUGGGCCGGACUUUGGGUAUUAAAAAUAUAACUUGUGGUUCGGGCCGGGUUUAAAAAUUUUGGCCCGAAAAAAUUUAGGCCUAUUUGGGCAUGUCCAAGCCCGGCCCGAGCCCGACCCAAAAGCCCAAUAUAUUAAUUAUCCAAAUAAAAUAUUUAAUUAUAUANGUUCGGGCCGGUCUUACAAAUUUUGGCCCGAAAAAAUUUUGGGCUUAUUUGGGCAUGUCCAAGCCCGGCCCGAGCCAGACCCAUAAGCCCGAUAUAUUAAUUAUCAAAAUAAAAUAUUUAUAUAUAUAUAUAUAUUAUUUAUCUAUUAAAAGAAAUAAAUGGUAUAGUAUAUCAUAUAUAGUAUAUAUUGUUAUUAAUGAUAUGUACUUAUAUAUAUGAGGAUAUAUUAUAUAUCAACAAAAUAUUUAGUUUUAUAUUAGGAUAUAUUUGUUAUUAGAUAUUAAUUUCUUUGAUGUGAUAAAACUAAAAAUAGGUAUUUUAUUUUAAUUUUAUACAAAUAAAAGUAUUUAUGUAUUAUAUGAUACAUGCAUAAAAUGGGCCUCCACAAAGCCCGCUGGGUAUUGGGCAUUGGGCUUGGGCUUAGGCCGGGCCAUCAUUUUCAAAAAAAUUAGGUAAACGCCCGACCCAAAGCCCAACAUUUUUAUUUGGGCCGGGUUUGGGCAUAGUAUUACCCUACCCAAAUCCGGCCCUGUUCCACCCCUAAAUAUAAGACAUAAAUAAAAAAACCGCACAUGAAAACAAUUUAUAAAGCCAAAUUGGUUUUAACCCAUAGAAGAAUAAAUUAAAAAAUAUCAUAUUACAUAAUAAUAUGAUCAUACAAGAACAAGUACAUUUUAGUUUAAAAAACUAAAAUUUUAUUUAUAAGCAAUAUCAUUAACCAAAUAUCUUAAGAAAAUCUCGCUCCAGCCCAGCUCAUUAAAAGACCCAUUUUUCUUAAAAGAUCCACCCCAUGUACAAAAGCCCACCAUUUCAAUCUGAUUCCUUUUAUUGUUUCUUGUCUCGGGUAGUGCCGAAUUCCCAUUUUUAUCAACUUUUUGACCCCAAUUCCUCAAACUAGGAUGAGGGCCUUCUUUAUAUAUAUAUANAGAUAUCCAAAUCAAUUGAAUUUUUAUUAGAAAAUUCUUUAAACUAUUGAAAACAAGAUCUAUACUCUUGAUCUUGAUUACAAGACUCCUAUCAUCAUUUUUUAAAAAAUAUUCAUUUUUAGCCGUUCAUUUUUAUGUCCACUCAAUGGAUAAGAGAACAAUAUCGAAAAUAUAUGAAAUUUGAUUUCUAAAUACUUCAAAUGGUAUAGAUCAUGUUCAACGAUGCCGAUCGUCGAUUUGGAGGCUCCAUUAUCGAAAAUAAAUGGGUGGCAAAAGUGCCAGUUUGCUAUCGAUAGUAUUCUAGCUCAACUCUAUAUAUAUAUAUAUAUAUAUUGAGAGAUUAGGUAGCACGCUACCCGCUUCGUUUAUUUUAUUUAGAAAUAAACUUAGCUAGAAAUAUGAAUCAACUAGGAUUUGAACUUGGAACCUCCAGUACCAACCACCAAGCUCUUUGCCACUUGCUCUAGGGACGGUCAGUAUGAGGGCCUUCUUUAUAGAUCUUUGGAUUUGGCGAUUUGGGCAAAAUUUGUUGUUUUUGUGUUCUCUUGGGUAUUUUUACAAACACCUAAUGUGCAAGGAUCUGCUGUUUUGAUGGAAUUUAAUAAUUUAGGGGUGUAAUGUGAGUCGUGCUGUGCCCCGUGCGGAUUCAGCCUAGGGUUGGCUCGGUUACAAAUCCUGGCCAACCCGUGCCAGCCCGCUUUCUCAGAGAAGAAGGCCUAGCCCGGCCGCUUGGACUGCCCGGCACGUGCUAUGCCGGGCCAAGCCGGGCUUCGUGCUAGCCCAGUAAAAAGUUUUUUUUUUAAUUUCUUCCCAACCGUCUUUUGUUAAAUUUUUUUUUAAUUUUUUUUUAGUAAAAAGAGAUAACUAAUUUUUAAAUUAUACCUUCUCGAUUUUUUUUUAUUUACACAAUUAUACCCAAAUUUUUUUUAAACUCUUGUAAUAAUUUUAUAAAUUUUAAAAAAAGCUAAAAUACUAACCAUAAAUUUAACAUUUUUAAUAUCAUUAAUUUUUAAUAUUAUAUAAAAUUUAAAACAUAGAGAUCAAUAAUUUUAACUUUUCAAAUAUAUUAGAUGUUUUAAUAUAAAUUUUUUAAAUUAGGUUUCGUUUAGGAUUGUGGGAAAAUUGUACUACAUGCGGUGAGAAAGUACGAUGAAAAAAUAUUCUAUUUGUUUCCGUGCGUAAUAUUGCAUUCUGCAUAUGGCAAUGAGUCGGUUAUGAUAUAUUUUUUGCGGCCCCACUAGAGAACGCAGAAGCAUAUUCUUAAAUGCUUUAUCCCGACUCAAUUUUAUCUAAUAAUAUUAUAUGGACUUUAAUACAAAACUAAGCCUUACAUUUCUGUGAUCCAAUAACCAACUUUAAUAUAAAAUUUUUAAUAUAAGAUUAAAUAUUUUGUUGAGAUUGAAACUUUUGUUAAAAAAAAAGUUGUUGAAAAGAUUAAAAAAAUUUGCAAAGCUAACUUGAGGAAAAAAAAUUUUAGAUUGAAAGUUUGAGAGUAGGAAGAAUUAGUGUUUGGGGAAGAAAUGAACGAAGAGUUGUUUGUUGAAAUGAAUUUGAAAAUUUGUAAAAGCAUUUAUAGAUGUAAAAAAAUUUUAAAUUUUUUUUAAAAAAUAGAAAAUAUUUUUGACCAAAAUGUCCUAUCUAACGGUCAAAAUUUUGAAUGCUAGUAAAGGCAUUAUGGUCAUUUUCAGCAAAAAGAUGUCUUUUUUAAUAUUUUUAUCUUUUUUUCAAAAAAAAAUAAUUUUCAUAUAUAUAUAUAUAUAGGCAGGACUGCUGUGCUCUCAGGAGCCGUUUUCGAUGAUGGAAUGUCCAAAUCGACGAUCAGCUCUGUUAGACUUGAUCUAACGUAUUUGAAGAUUCUAGAAAAUAAUUUUUUGCGAUUUUUCGAUAUCAUUUACUUAGCAAUCGAAAGGAUUCAAAAUCAAUAAUUUUUAACGGCUGAAAAUAAAAAUCCUAUAAAACGUGGUGAUAUAGCACUAAAAUUUUCGAUCAGAAAUAUUGAUCUUGUUAUAGAUAGUAUAAAGAAUUUUGUAUCAAAAUUUCAUCUGAUUUGAAUACUUUUACACCGUUAAACUUGAAAACGGUAGAUAUCAACCAUUAAAAAUUAUUGAUUUUGAAUCCUUUCGAUCACUAGGUAAAUGAUAUCAAAAAAUCGCAAAAAUUAUUUUCUAGAAUCUUCAAAUACGCUAGAUCAAGUCUAACGGAGCCGAUCGUCGAUUUGGAAAUUCCAUCAUCGAAAACGGCUCAGGAGCACAGCAGCCCUGCUAUAUAUAUAUAUAUAUAUAUAUAUAUAUAUAUAUAUAUAUAUAUAUAGAGAGAGAGAGAGAGAGAGAGAGAGAGAGAGAGAGAGGGAGAGAGAGAGUUGAGCCGGAAUGUUACCAAUAGCAAACUGGUUUUAUUGCCAUCCAUUUGUUUUCCAUAAUAGAGCCUCUAAAUCGAUGAUCGGCACCGUUGAACAUAAUCUAUACCACUUGAAGUAUUUAGAAAUUAAAUUUCAUAUUUUUCUGAUAUUAUUUUUUGUCCAUCAAGUGAACACAAAAAUGAAUGGCUGAAAUAAAUAUCUUUUAAAAAGUGAUGAUAGGAGUCUUCUAAUCAAGAUCAAGAAUAUAAAUCUUGUUCUAAAUAGUUUAAACAAUUUUCUAACCAAAAUUCAAUUAAUUUGGAUAUCUUUAUACCGUUAAAUGAGAAAACAUCUUAGAUCGACAACUAAAAUUAUAAAUUUUGAGACCUUUUAAUAAUCUGACCAAUAAUGUCGAAAAAAUUAGAAAUUUGGUUUCUAGAUUUUUUAAGUGGUAUAGACCAUAUUCAAUGGUACCGGUCGUCAAUUUGAAGGCUUCAUCAUCAAAAUAAAUAGAUAGCAACGGAACUCAUUUGUUACUAAUAGCAUUCAAGCUCAACUCUCUAUCUCUUUCUCUAUAUAUAUAUACUAGUUGUAAUGCACGUGCGAUGCACGUCAUAUUUAAUUAAAUUAAGUUUAUAUUUAUAUUUUAAAUUUAAAUAAUUAUUGGUGGUAUAUAUCUAUUUAUCAAUUAAAUUUUUUUUAACUUUAAUUUUUUUAAUGUGUAUCCAAAUUUAUAUAUAUGAAAAUUGGAUUUUUGAAAAUCUGAUUACUGUUAUUCAAAUUACUGUUAUUCAGUAAAAAUCAGUAUAUGAAAAUCGGAUUUUUUUUUUUUUUUCGAUGGUCAGGAUUGAAAACCGUAAUUCAGUAAGUAUCAUUGUUUUGAAACCAGGUUUUCUUUUUUUCUUUUUAAUAGAAGUGGAGAUUUAAAAAAGAAGGUACAAUGAAGUAGAUAUGGUUAAUAGGAGGGUGGUCCACUUUGACCUGGUGCACCAGGUCAAAGUAUGAAUUCAAGCCAGGUAUUUUAGUCCCAUAUCGACUGCAGCGAAGAACGGAAGAGGCAAGGAGAGUACAAGAGGAGGCCUCGGUGCGUGAUUUAAACUCAUACCUUUCUCGGCCUUUUGGCUAAGAUCAAGUGUAGUAUCUGUUCUUAUCAGUUUAAUAUCUGAUACGUGAGCCAUGUGCUCACCUCGAUAUUAAAUUAAUUUUUUGUGUGGGAGGGCCCAUCCACGGUAGCUUGCUACCGGGGCCCUCGCGCGUCGCCCUUGCGUUGCACUACUGCUCGGGCCUGGCGCACCCCUACCAAGUCUAAACGCUCAAAUAUUUUUAGUUCAUUCACUAAGCUUAAACAUUAUUUUUCAAAUAGUUUUUUUUGUAUAAAAAACAUAAUUUCUGUAGUUUUUUGUCUUUGCCUUUUUAUUAAUCUGAAUAGAACAACUACUUAGUUUUUCGUGAAUUUUUUUAAAACCAAACACUCUCUGAAAGCUUUUUUGAGUUUUGAGAUCUUUGCUAAGGAAUUGUUUGAUUUCUAAAAAAAUAUAUAAAAAAAAUUUAUUUAAAAAUAAUAUUUUUUUUAGAUUUCACUGUUCGGUUUCAAGAAAAACUUUCUUUUUUGAAAAUUUUUUAUAUUUCAUGUAAAAUUAGUAUUUUUAUUUUUCAAAAGAAAAUCAGAAAAUCAAAAAAAUUAUUUUCAUAAAGUUUAAUUUCUUACCACCAAGCGAGCAAAAAAUAAAACAAAUUUUUUUUUUCAAAAUUUUUCUUUAAUAUUUACACCGGCCCAUUUAAAUCUAGCCAUUCAUUUUUUAAGGUUAUGAUUGACUUUACAUAGUAAUAACCUGCUUAAUUGGUUACCAAUCAAAGAUCAAUCGUAAGAAUAAUGUUAGAAAAUACAUACUAAUCAAUUAUCAAGUUUGAUAAAAUCUAACCAAUCUUUCUUUCCUUAUUUAAUAUUGUUACUUAAUUACCAAAUUAAAUAGUGGCUAAUUUGAUAAGUAAUGCAUGUUCAUAAAUUUGAAUUCAAAAUUAACUUAGGUUUUAACUUUAUUUUUAUAAUUGUAUAAAUUAAUUC